AUGUCUCAAAGUAAAAGGUCUGAGCAGGAGGAAGUGUUGGUAGUAAUGAAAUGUGUGGAACAAGGAAGAGGGCCCCUGUCCUUUUCCAAGCUAUGAUACUGUGACGUUCGCAACCUCUUCUACAUUAAUUAGACCAUGCUUUUUGUUGAAGCUUGGUCAAGGGUUCAAAAAAGGCAUGAUUACAUUCUAACAUUGAAUGCUAAUCUAGAUUUCGCCCUGACAUUUUGUUCCCACAAGUGAUACAUAUUUCAGCUAUCAUCACUUUCACUUGCAUUGAUCAAACCUUCUUGCUGAUCCUCCUCCCUGCUACCUUAGACCCCUUCAUCUCAUCCGGAAAAGGGAACUAGUCGAUGAAAGCAAAUGUAAAUAGUAUGUGAUUGACUUUCGUAUUUGCUUAGAUGAAUGUAUUUGUGUUUAGCGGAUAUUAAUAGAGGGCUUUUGUAGUUAUUCAUUUCCUAUUACACUAUAUUGAACACUGAAAAGAGUGUUGAACUAUGAAGUGUGCUAAUUGUGAUUAUCAUAAAAGUCAGCUAUUGGGAAGACAAAAAUGAAAUAAUGGCUUCUUUAGACAAUGAGAAUGAGUACUUGUAAUUACUGUCUCGCUUGCCUGAGGACUUUCAUAUCGUUGUUUUCGGGACAUAUUGCAGGUUUGUUAAGAUUAGCUCGGUAAAAAUUAUGCCAAAUGCCUCGCCUCGCUUCCUGGAUGUGCGCACUUGUCUUGGUGGUUUUCGUAUUUGGUUGAUGGAUAUCAAAGAACUUUUUCCUAAUCCUGUCCUCUUUCUUUCCCGUUACAGGUAAAGGACGGUCUUGUUCUGCCGGAUAAAGCCUCGCUCUGUUUGACAGCUAUUGAAGAUGCUGACUACAAAGAAGAUAAGAUCGAAUGUAGGUUUAUUCCUCUUUUGGUAUAUACUUGAUGGAUUUUGAUUUGCUGUGGCAUUUUCUGUUUACGAUGUACUUUGAAUGUAAUUUUUCUAGCGGCAUCAAAUAUUUUAUACUAGUAUGCUCAACUAGUCAGCUUAUAUUCCAUCCCGUGUUCUACUGCAGUUUGGAAUAGUGUGUACGGUUUCGACAUGAGCUGCAUCCGGAAGCAAGCUAUGAUGGAACCUAUUGUUGACACAGUAGAUCAGAAUCAGAUUGCUACAAACUGCCAGUUACUAAAGGUAAUCAUGUCAAGUUUAUAGUUGGGUUGAGAUUUACUGAAAUAGUUGCGAAAUGUAUAAUCUUGCCUGUUUCCGUCGCUGAUAACGGAUCCUUCUAUCAGACAAUGGACAUUUCUAAGAUGACUUCUGGAGAUGCUUCCUUCACAGCACCAUUUAAACUCGUUGCAGAACGUGAUGAUUACAUCCAUGCCCUUGUAGCAUACUUUGAUGUCUCUUUCACGAAAUGUCACAAGUUGCUGGGCUUCUCAACCGGUUCGUACUUUUGUCCUUGCAUGCUUUUAGUUAUGACAUUGUCCAUACGCUUAUCUUCCUUUCUUGGAGUUCUUUUCAUAAAUUAUUCGUUUCUGCUAAAUCAUUUUCCUUCUUCGAGGGGGCUGAGGUGCUUAGAUUGGUCGCUUAAAUAGUUCUCUUUUUUAAUUUUUUGUUUAUACGUAUCUUGGGUUUUUGCGGAAGUUAUAAACCUGCACCCGAUGAUUACAGUAGAUUGAGCCAUCUUCUCCUCGUAGUAUGUACGUUCAUGCAAAGACCAAAUCUACGCACUAGAAUAUGAAAGGCGCUCUGUUUUUCUUUCAUUUUUUUCCCGGGAAUUGAGAAUAGGACCCCAACGAUAAGUUCCAUGUAAUAUUCAUUGUUUCUGACCACGCAAAAAUAAUUAUACGCAGGUCCAAAAUCUCGAGGCACACAUUGGAAGCAAACAGUUCUUUACCUGGAAGAUGUGCUAACUGUUUGCCAAGGGGAAGCUGUAGUGGGAAGCAUGACUGUAGCUCCUAACAAGAAAAAUCCUCGAGAUGUCGAUAUAAUGCUCAAAUACUCCGUGAAUGGUCGGCACUGCCGUGUCUCAAGAACUCAGUAUUACCGGAUGCGAUGAUGGUAACGUUGAAAAUGGCUGACGAAUUCUUGUUUAGUCCGCCUUUCGGGUAUGCUGGAGCUGAUACAACAUUAGGCGACCAAUGUUAAUGUAUUCUGUUUCCUUUUCCCCCACAAACUGUGGACUAUUUUCCUUCUAUCUUGCUCAAUUACAAUAGGCCUUUGUCGUUCGGCCGUUUUGCGGACCCUGGGCAUAGCGUGAGCUUUAGUGCAUCGGUUUAUCGUUUAUUUUGAUUAGUUACACAACCUCUAAAUUCAUUUGAGGCCAAAGAGGCAAUUGUAACCCAUAUUUUUUUUGUUAUAAAUUGACCUUCCUUGUUUCUGAUCCACUGGUCAAGUUCAUUCAAGUACUAUGUUCAACAACAGCAACAACAAACCCGGUGUAUUCCAGGAAGGUAAAAUGUACGCAAUCCAUACCACUAUCUCUGAAGAAGUAGAUUGAUUUUUGAUAGCCCCCAACUCACAUUCAAGUACUAUGUUCGAUGUAAUUAUUCCCUGUUAAUAAUGUCAUGCCGGCUCAACACGAUAAAUCCAGGUGGACUCUGUGGAGGAUAGUGCGCAUAUAGAUCUUACCCUUGUCUUAUGAAGGUAGAAACUGUUUUCGGUAGAUUUUUGGCUCAAGGAAAAAUUUCAAAGCGGUUUGGUAAAACGAAAUACGAAAGUGAAAAAGGAACAGUAACAAUAAUAAAAUAAUGUGAUAAUAGAAGCAUAAGAAACAAACAACCGGUAGUGAUAGAAGUUGAAGAAUAAGAAACUACGAAAAAAAUACUAACACUAUUGGCAUGAAAGGAGAAAUAGACGCGGUGCUUCAAUCUAUCACCAAGUAUAUCUCACAAGAAAGCGGUAACAGAAUAUCGAUCAAUUAUCUACUAACCAUCUAUCUCAAUCUACAACCUCUAUACCCUUCUAUUUAGGGUUCAUGUCCUUAAUUAUCUUUUCUACUUCUUAAUACUAUAUAUUAUACACAUUCUGUAUCAAUUGGUGUAUUCAAAUUUUGAUAUACAACAUGGAUACAAAAUUAGAAUUAAGAGUUAAAAUGUAGGGCAAAUUUAUUUCAUUUCGAUAUUCGCAUAGUUCAAAGGCAAAUUUGACCACAAUUAUUAACAGAGGGAAAAUCUGUUUCAUUUCGUAUAAUUCGUAAGACAAUGCGUUCGUUCAAAUUUCGUCGAAGAGCUUCCUCAAAUUAAGAGGCCCGUGAGGCCCACAGCCCACAGAGUAAUGGUGUAGGCUUGGUCAGCCCGGCCUGGUCCGUCAAACUCAAAGCCCGUGUGGGCUAGCCCGAAUGGACUGUGCCGACCCGUAUUGACAGCUCUAAUUACCUCUGAACUAAAUUUUAGCGUAUUUUUGUCAACUUUUUUAGUUGACGUGACACUUUUGACGUGGAGCUCAUUUUAUGUAAUAAAAGCGUCACGUCAGCACAAAUAGGUGACAAAAAUACGCUAAAAUUGAGUUCAGAGGGGUAAUAGGACCCUUGUAAAGUUUGAGUGUGUCGUAACAACUUUGGUCAUAGUUUGAGCUUCGAGGGAUACUGGAUGCUUAUCUCUUCAUUGGUCAUAUGUAUAUGUAUAUGUAUAUGUAUAUGUAUAUGUAUAUGUAUAUGUAUAUGUAUAUGUAUAUUUCUCUUAAUUUCUCCUAACUAACAUUUAGUUCAGACUUGAGGAUUCUUGUAAAUUAAAACAAAUCAUGUAGGAUUUUAAUUGUAACUUAGAUUCGGUUUCUUUUCAUAUUAGUUGCUAUUUUUUUUAUUUUAUGAGUAUUUUCUUAUCGGGUAAAUUGAAAACCGAACCAUUAAGGACUAAAAACCGAUAAACCAAAAACCAAUAAAAAAUAUCUUAUUGGUUUGGUUAUUGAUUUAGCAUAUUUAGAAAUCAAAAAUCGAUAAAUCAAACUGAUAAUACAUAAAAUCAAAUCGAACCGACCGAUGCACACCCCUACAUCAUACCUUACUAUAAAAUUGGAAAUAUAUUUAGAUACUUUUUUCCCACUUACGUUACGUACUAUUUUGGAAAAGAAUAUAUCAAGAAGUAUAGGUAAAAAGCAUAAAAAAAAAAUUAUGCUUUUAUUUAAACUAAAUCAGGUAAUUUAAUUUCAUUUGAUUCUUUUUGCUAUAAUGGGUCAAUUAUUAGGGAUUAUAAAAGAAUAAUCCUAUAUAAAAUUCGCAUAAAUAAUUAGAAUAUUUGAUUGGAAGUUCAUUGUGGCGAAUUUAGAAUAUUAUUUGUGAGUUUACAAGAACACAUUAACUUUUAUUCCGAUCUUUUAUUUUAAACAAUACUAAGCAUUUAUAAAUAAUUAUUCGUGAAUUUAAAUUUUAUUGUCCAUUAGCUUGAAAUGGUCUUAGAAAUCCAUAAUUCUCUUGAUAAUCAUGGAUUAUGAUUUUGGUACAAAUUAAAAUUAACAUGCUAUUAUAAAUUAAAAUUCAUUAUAAAUGUGCACACUUAAAUUCUUAAAGAAAAAAAAUAAACUUCAGAUAAACUAGUGCAACGUGUAGACACCACAAUUUCAGUAAACUCAUAUUAAAACAUUAUUUAUGGGUAUAUAAAAAUAUUUAUUAGCAACGUGGAUAUUAAAUUAUUUUUAAAAAUAGGUAAUUCAUAUAUAAUAAGAAAUAACAAUGUUUAUUCUUCUUCUUCUUCUUUUAUUUUUUUUUGACAUGACUAUUUUUUCUUCAGCUAAACGUCUAUCGAAAACAACUUUUCUAACCUUAAAGGGUAGUUUGGUGUACUAAAACUACCGCUAUACGCAAUGUCCGGAAAAAGGCUCCACCACAAGGGCGUAUUGUACGCAACCUUACCUUGCAUUUCUGUCAGAGGUUGUUUCCAAGGCUUCAACUCAUGACCUCCUGGUCACAUGACACUACCUCAAAUGUGAGAUAGAGAGGUUGUUUCCGAUAUCACAAAGCAGUCUAAAAUUUUUUUUUUUAACAAAAGUACAAAAAAAUAACGAAUAGUAUCACAACAGAGAUUAACAAAAAUCGAAGUACAAUAAACUACCGAAGAAAUAAUAUAACUACUAAUGUGAAUAAACAACUAAGACGUUGUACUGUUAUCUAAUAAUCUUCUAUCCUAAUCGAUGUCUUCACGCCCUUCUAUUAGAAAUCAUAUUCUUUUUACCUUCUAACAAGGUUUGAGUUUACAUACAGUGACAGAGCUACAUUGAAUUCAGGGGUUCAUUCGACCCUCCUUGGUCAAAAAAUUAUACUAUUUUUAAAUGGUUCAAAAUAUGUUUAUAUAUAUAUAAUAGAUGUUGAACUCCCUUCGACUAGUCCAUAUAUUUAUUUCUGAACCCCCCUCAAUGAAAAUUCUGGCUCCGCCAUUGUUCAUAUACACAACUUAAAUUCAAGACCUCUCGUCAAGAAUCUAUAACAUCAUAAUUUAGGUAUACAAAAAAAAAAAUUAACAGAAAUCGAAAUACAAGAAACUAUCAGAGCAAUAUUAUGACUACUAAUAUUAACGAAUCAUAAGACUGUUGUAUACUAACCUUUUGUUCUAAUCUAUAUCCUCCACGGCCUCUUAUUUAAGAUCAUGUCUCGAUAAGCUGAAACUGUAUCAUAUGUCUAAUCUCUCUUUAAUGCCUUCUCCUAUCCUCUUCACAUACACAAAACUUAAAUUCGAGACCUGUUGUCAAGAAUAAAAUUAAAAUACUAAUCAUGUUUAUAAUUAGAAAAAAAUAACAUAAACAUACAUCUUAAUUUACUAUAAUUACACAAACGCUGACGCCCAGAUGCGUAAUGGAAAGUGAGUAACACACACCUGCCAUGUAAUGCCACCUAGUUUUCACGUAAUAUUAUUUUUUUAUAUAAAAAAUUAAUUAUUAUUCUUUAAUAUAUAUAUCAUUUUUGGAAGCACGGGAAUCCGGAUUAAUUGAGGAGAAGGACCAGAUUUUGAUUAAUGAAUAUGUUCACAUUUCCAAAAAUUCAUAUGAGCAACUCAACUUGAAUCAACCAAGUUGGUGUCGUCUUCGCCGUCAAAUCGCGAAUCCACCACUGCCUGCCGCCAUCGCCGGAGCUCCGGUGACUUUUGGCGUCGCGGACCAAUCCCAACAAGUGCGCCACCUCAACGCGAGCACACCCCAACAAAAAUCGUCCAAAACCGAUGCUCCAAUCGCCGUGAAAUCAUACUUGAGCGCAGCGCCGCCACUGUCCACCACCAAUUGACGCAACACCACCACCAAAUUUUAGAUCUGUCGAGAGCUAAUUAUGUAUCUUUACAAAAGAAAAAAUGCAUCUUCGUUGAAUGUAUCGAGAGCUAAUCAUGUAUCUUGAUUAUCGACAGAUCUAAAAUCGAAAAAAAAAUAUCGAGAGAUAAUUAUGUAUCUUUACAAAGAAAAAAGGUAUUUUCGUUGAAUAUAUCGGGAGCUAAUUAUGUAUCGCGAUAGAUCCAAAAUAAAAAAAAAUCUAUCGAGAGCUAAUUAUGUAUCUUUACAAAGGAAAAAAUUUAUCUUCAUUAAAUGUAUUGGGAGCUAAUUAUGUAUCUCGACAGAUUCAAAAUCGAAAAAAUUAUAUCAAAAGCUAAUUAUGUAUUUUACAAAGAAAAAAAUAUAUUUUCGUUAGAUCUAUCGGGAGCUAAUUAUAUAUUUCGAUAGAUUCAAAAUAAAAAAAAGUGUACCAAAAGUUAAUUUUAUAUUUUGAUAGACUUAAAAUUGAGAUUUCCGUAAUUAUAUAAAUUGUCCAAAUUUUCUGCCAACUCCAAAAUAUAGAAAUUUAUGUUGUUUUUCCUAAUUAUUCUUCUUAUAUUUGUUCCUAUAUAAUAAUUGUCAACUGUCAAAAAAGGCAUUGAAGUUUCAUUCAAUUUGGCAACCAAAAAUCAAAGCCAGUUUUAACAUAGUUACAUAUAUAGCCUAACACAAUUAAACUCUCCAUUAAAAUCUUGAAUUUACCUUUGGGGGUUCAUCAAGAUUUGUGUAGAGAGAAGGAGAGACUCAAUUUGUCUCUCCUCUCUCAAUUUUGUGUUUUUUUUUUUUCAUAAGGGGUUUCUUGUUUUUUUUUUUUUUUUUUUUUUUUUAAAAGGGGUUUUUUUUUUUUUUUUUUUUUUUUUUUUUUUUCAAAUGGCAAAACAAAGAGAUGAAUUUUAUGAUGGGGUUAUAGAAGGGAUGCCGUUAUUUGCUAAAGAAUUAAUAGCAGGUGGUGUAGCUGGUGGUUUUGCUAAGUCAGCUGUUGCACCUCUUGAACGUAUCAAGAUCUUGUUUCAGGUAUUGUUUGUUUGUUUGUUUGUUUUUCUGUUGAGUUGAUGAUUCUAUUUUGCUUUCUUGGGUUGAAAGUUUUUGUCUUUUUCUUGUUUGGGGUGUUUUUUUUUUCUCUUUUUUGUAUACUGUCCUUUGUCUUCAGCUAUCGAAAACAGCCUCUCUACUUCUUUAGCGAUAGUUGUAUGGACUGCUACAUUCUACCCUCCCAGACCCCACGAUGUGGGAAUAUACUGGAUUUGUUGUUGUUGUUGGGUGUUUUUUUUUUUGGUCCUAACAUUUAUGUUAUUAUCUGUUGUUUCUUGUAAUUCGAAUAUCAUAUUUGUAGUACUGUUGUGCUUAUAUAUGUUGUUUCUUGUAAUUCAAUUAUCAUAUUGUAUUGUGAGGUGUGUGCUCCGAAGAAAUAUUGGAGGUAGGUGAUUAGACGUGAAGUGGAGCAGUUAGAGCUUAGUGAGGACAUGAUCCUAGAUAGGAAGGUAUGGAGGUUGCGAAUUAAGUUAGAGGGCUAGUGCAUGUGGGUGUAGCCUUGCUAGUAGUCGUAGGGCUUUGUUCAUAGGUUGGAGUUUCUAGCUUAGGAGGGUUGGGUGAGGUGUGUGCUUUCGGUUUGAUAGUGUAUAGUAAUACCUUGUGGGUGUCUUAUUUCCGUUAUUUCAUCUUGUUUCAUAUUUUUCUACGUUUUUUUUUAUUGUUUGUUUGUCUUGAGCUGGGGGCCUAUUGGAUACAGCCUCUCUACCUCUUCGGAGGUAGUGGUAUGGACUGUGUAUAUUUUACCCUCCCCAGACCCCACUAUGUGGGAAUACACUGGUAUGUUGUUGUUGUUGCAAAUUGUUUUGUUGUAGUAUCUGUUACUAUAUGUUGUUUCUUGUAAUUCGACUAUCAUAUUGCUUUGUUAUAGUACUGUUCUAUUACUAUCUGUUGUUUCUUGUAAUUCGACUAUCAUAUUGCUUUGUGGUAGUAUUGUUCUGUUACUAUCUCCUGAGCCGGGGGUCUAUCAGAAACAGUCUCUCUACUUCGUUUGAGGUAGUGGUAUGAACUGCGUACACUUUACCCUCCCAAACCCCACUUUGUGGGAAUAAGCUGGGUAUGUUGUUGUUGUUGUAAACUGUUCUAUUACAAUCUCUUGUUUCUUGUAAUUGGACUAUCAUAUUGUUUUGUUGUGCUACCGUUUUGCUACUAUCCGUUGUCAUAUUGUUUUGUUGUAGUACUGUUCUGUCACUGUCACUUGUUUCUUGUAAUUCGACUAUCAUAUUGUUUUUUCUUGAGCUAAGAGUCUGUCGGAAACAACCUCUCUACAUCCCAAGGUAGGGGUAAGGUCUGCAUACAUUCUAUCAUCCCCAGACCCUACUUGUGGGAUUACACUAGGUAUGUUGUUAUUGUUGUUAUUGCAUUGAUCGUGGAGGAUGAUUAACAUUUGAGGGGAUGAGUUUUGGGGUGAGGACGUGAGGUUAUAGAGGGAAUGCCUUUGUUUGCUUAAGAACUUAUAGCUGGAGGUGUAGCUGGUAGUUUUUCUAAGUCUGCAGUUGCCCCUCUUUGAGCGUAUCAAGAUCUUGUUUCAGGUACUUCUGUUGAGAUUCUGAUUCAAUUGUGCUUUCUGGGGCUGAAAGUUUUGAACUUUUUCUUUUCCGGGUGCUUUUUUCUUGGAUUUUCUUGGGAAGCGGCGAUGGGGUUCUCGUGAAUUUGGUUUCUAAGUUUCACAUGUUAAAUGGGACAAAUUGGUUUUCCUGUUGAGUUUCUGGUUGAAUUGUGCUUUGUGAGGUUGCGAGUUUUUAACCUUUUCUUUUCUGGGUGAGUUCUUUCUUGGUCUUUUUGGGGGGGAAGUGAUGAUGAUUUAUAGUGAAUUUGGGUUUUUAAGUGUCAUAUGUUAAAUGGGAUAAUUUGGGUUGACGCAUUGAUGGUGGAGGAUGAUUAAUAAUUGAAUGGCAAAAUAUACUAGGUGAUUCCUCCCAUCUGUCCUGUCCUUGGAUAGAGUUACCUGAUAUCCGACGCUGGUGGGAGGUGGCAGGUAUCCCAUGGAUUUGGUCGAGGUGCAGGAAAGUUAGCCUGGACACCACGGUUAUAUAUAUAAAGAAUACUUGAAUGGAACUAAUUGCAUUUUUCUCAAAGUUUAAUCUUUGUCGAUGUUCUUGAGAAGUAUGAUCUUUUUUGAUGUUCUUGAGAAGUCUUGGCUUCUUCACAUUUAUGUUUUCGAACUACUUUUUAAUGCUUUUACAUCUAUUGGAAACCACCUCUCUAUCUCCCUAGGUAAGGGUAAGAUCUGCAUACACUCCACCCUCCCCAGACGUCACUUGUGGGAUUACACUAGGUAUAUUGUUGUUGUUGAUUUUCUUGAGAAAGAGAGAGAGAGAGUCAGAAUUUACCCUGUAUGAUUUUCAUUUAUUGUUGUCUUUGAUUGUUUCCUAACAUUGAAUAAGACGAUGAUGAUCUCUCGAGCUUAGUUGGUGUAUUUGAUAAGUGCAUCCACCAAUCUCAGUUGUAAAGUACUGUGAUUUAUGUUAGAAAACUUCUGCAUUUCCAUGAAGUGCCUGAGGUGGUGUAAAUCUGUGUGCCUGACAUUUCACGGCACAUUGUUUAGUUAUGAGUAUGCAUUUUGCUCAUAGGAUUGAUUCUGAUCAAGCUGAAAAAAGUCAUCCCUAUACCCGUUAUUAGUAAAGCGCUAACACUCUAUCUAUAAUAUGGUACCCUUUCUUGCUCGAGAGAGGUGUUUUCUGAUGGUUGCUAGGACACCCCUUUGCUUUCUCAGUUAAUUUGUAUUUAUUAGUAAAAUGCCCGUAAUCCAGCUAGUUUUAGUUUGACUGCCAUUCAUCAUAAAACGGCAGCCGGUGCACUAAGCCCCCGCUUUGCAUGGGUCCGGGGAAGGGCUGGACCACAAGGGUCUAUUGUAGGCGUAAUGUAUUUAAUUUGGUUUGUAAGAGUACAAAGAACACCGAAACAGAUGCUUGAAAUAUUCCAUGAUCCAUUUUACUAGUGGAGCUUAUGGAUGAAAAAGAUUCUUCUCGCAUUGUCAAAAUCAUGAAGGACCUCAAAAGGCAUAUUGCUAUGACAUGACUACUGUCAUCUUUUCCGAAAUUCUUUCUCUGGCAUCUGUUGUUCAUUUGUUUUUUUGUUGUCGUGGGCAAACUCGUUGAGCAAGGAUCUAUCUUAAACAGUCUCUCUACCUCCAAGGUGGGGGGUGGGGGGUAAGGUCCGCAUACACUCUACCCUUCCCAGACGAUUACAUUGGGUAUGUUGUUGUGGGCAAAUUGUUCUGACUAUUAACUAUUAUGUUACUUAUGAGACUGGCACUAUUUGUCCCUGGAAGGCUCGAAAUUUGAAUGCUGGAUGUGGUAGUACUAGCAAAAAGUUCUUUUACUUUUUCGUUGCUAUCUUUUGCGUGCUUUUCUACUUUUUCCCAUACAAGCAUUAAAGAUACCUUUGUUUUUUCCCGAUCAACAGUUGUUAGUUAGCAAUACGUUGGUGCUAUUGAAUACGAUGGUAAGAAUUUGUUAAUGUAGAAAAAAGUUGAAUUGCUUAUAUUUAAUUUUCUUUUUCUUAGACCAGACAAGCUGAAUAUCGGAGUUUGGGGCUAAUAGGAUCCUUUACGAAGAUUGCCAAGACAGAAGGACCUCUUGGUUUUUUCAGGUGCAGAAUGCAAUAAUUUUUUUUCAUCGAUGUUAACUGAUCGAAUGAAUUAGUCUUUAAGCUUACAUGUAUUUUUGGUGGGGCUCCUCUUCAGGGGAAAUGGCGCUAGUGUUGCUCGAAUUGUCCCUUACGCAGCACUGCACUACAUGGCCUAUGAAGAGUACCGCCGCUGGAUUAUACAAGGAAUUCCCGGGGUGGAUAAAGGUCCGAUUCUUGAUCUUGUAGCAGGAUCAUUUGCCGGUGGGACUGCUGUACUUUUUACUUAUCCGCUUGAUUUAGUUCGAACUAAAUUGGCUUACCAGGUGAGUAACGUAAAAGCAGAGUCUUUUGAGUUGAAUUCACGUUACUGUUCCAUGAACAAUUGAAGACCGAUUCACAUAUGAUCAGCCAGGUGGUUGAAUCCCAAAAGUUAAAUAUACAACGGCUUGUUACCGAUGAACAAGUUUACAAAGGAAUAAAGGACUGUUUUUCGAAAACAUACAAGGAAGCCGGAAUAAAGGGCCUAUACCGUGGAGUUGGUAUGAACUGCUUUGCCUCGCGAUGCUUGUUUUUUACUGUUAGCUGCAAGUCUUCUUAGGUAAUGUGCGUGUUGCAUUCGCAGCUCCAUCACUUUAUGGAAUCUUUCCAUACGCCGGGCUGAAAUUCUACUUCUAUGAGAAAAUGAAGAGCCAUGUCCCUAAGGAGCAGAAGAAUGAUAUCGCGAUAAAACUAGCAUGUGGAUCUGUUGCAGGACUUCUAGGACAAACUUUCACUUAUCCUCUAGACGUUGUUAGGCGGCAAAUGCAGGUAAUUUACUGAAGAUUGCACACUUCAAUUAAUUUCUUUUGUGACAAACUUGCACAUUAGGGUAUGGAUUAGGGUAGAAGGAUAGUAGGAGGGAGUGCGCCAGUGCUAGUGGGUAGGAGGACUUUGUUAUCCAUAUUAAUAGCUAUAGUACUAGUAUCAUUUCAUAAUGUUGUAUCGUUGUAUUACUUGAUGAAUCUUGUCUAUGGUACACUAUUAGGUGUGGUAAUUUCUGUUGUAUGUUGCUGUUAGAAUGAGCGAGUACCCGAAUGUUUCAGGUCCAACGACUCUCAGCAUCUACCAGCCACGAAAUGAAAGGAACAGUGGAUACUCUCGUUAUGAUUUUGCAAACACAUGGAUGGAAACAACUAUUUUCGGGGCUUAGCCUCAACUAUUUGAAGGUAAGAAACACCCUGCACCUUUUGUAUAUGUUAACUACUGAUCGACUAUACUAUUGUUUCAAAAUAAGGUUGUACCAUCUGUUGCGAUUGGGUUCACUGUUUACGAUAUGAUGAAAGCGUAUCUGAGAGUACCAUCACGCGACGAUGCUGGUGUAGAAGGUGUCACUAGUAGCAGAAAUAGUCAACCAUCCACCCUGCACUCUUAACAAUCUUCUUGAGGCUCACAGAUUGCCAAAGUUCAAUUUCAGAAAAGUUUGUACAUUUCCAUUCUUUCACAUAGCCAUAAUUCUUCCUUACAAUAAGUUGUUCUAUAAAUCAUCUGUAUAUCAACAACUUGUAAACUUAUACAUUGAUUUGACAAGUUUAAUUGACUAUGUUGAUUUUUACACACACACACACAUAUAUAUAUAUGUAAAUUUUAUCAUAAUAAUUUUGAAAAAUCUACAUUCAAAUUCGUAGUGAAAAUAUCUAUUUUUAGCUUAAUUUUAUGUACUUUUAUGUUAAAAUAAUUUUUAAAUAUUUUUGUAGUGUUUCAUUAAGAUAAAAAAAGUGCUUCCAAGGACUUUAUUUUAAGCUCAAACGAAAAAAAUAAAUCAAAAGUCAAGAAUUAUAAUUCUUAACUUAUAAUUUUUGACUUAUAAGCCAAAAAUGAUUAGCCUAUUCAAUCAUGCUUGAAUUAUUUUUAUUUAGAAAGUUAAAUUUUAUUAUAUAAAUAGACGUACUUUAAAGUCAAUAUAAAUUUUGAAGAUAGUAUACUUUGAAGUAAAGGGGAUUAAAGUAAAUUGAAAUCAUACAUACUUCCUAGUUAUAUUUAUUAAGAAGUAGUUGAUCGAAAUUUCAGUUCAAAAAGUCAUUAACAUUUCUUAUGUUAAAAACAUAUUUAUGAAAUUCAAUAAGAAGCAAAUGAUAAGAUUUAUAUGUCUAAAGAAGUUCACGAAAAAUAGCUUCUAUUAGGUCUAAUUGAAAUCUAAAUGAACUUUUUUUUUUUUAUUGACAUUGAAAUCCAAAUGUAUUUUUUUUUUACAAAUAACUAAGAUGGAAAUUGAUAAAACAAUUUAUUGAAAGACGUUGUCAUAGUGAAGCAGUCUUCUAUUCAUGUUAAGCCUUUCUCAUUUUUAAUAAGGAACCAACAUAAAUUCAUUCAUACUAAUCCAUAAAUUAUUCAUGUAUUUGAUUAAAAAAUUAAUUAUGAAGGUUAUUAAUAUUGGUUUACUAAAUAAUAGUGACCGUUGUAAUAAUUAGUCAAUUAAGCAUAAUAUGUAGAUAUUUUUAGACUAUUAUUAAUGGUAGUAAAUUUUAGUAGUGUCUUUUUGAUUCUUCAUUAAUAAUGGAUAUUGAAUAUUUUAAAAUAAUAAAUAAAAACAAUAGUGAAAUGCCAAUAGAAAAUAAGAAAAUUCUUUUUAUAAAUGCUAUAUAAUAUUGAGUCAUCUAUCAUAUAAUACCAUUAAUACAAAAAGAAAUAGCUUUGCUACUUCACUUGAAUGCUAUCCUUUAUUAAGAAAAAUCAAAAGAUUAUGUUAAUUAGUAAAUAGUUUUAGACUCCUCGCUAUUUAUGAUAGUGAUUUUUAAAUGCAUAAACGUAUAUAAUAUGUAAUGUAUGUUAUUAAUUUUACGAAUCAACAUAAAUGAUUCAAUUAUAACAAUGGACUUUUUAUUUGCUUUAAGGUUUACGUAAGAAAUAAUUAACUAUUUUAAUAAAUGAUUUAAUUGUAAUAGUAGUCAAUUUUUAUUUACCUUUUUAAUUUCUUUGUUAAGAAAUUAAGUUUUGCCUAUAUUUUUGAGUGAGUAAAUUUCAAAACAUUUUUUAAAGUUAUACGGUAUUAAUCACUAAUAAUAUUCUUGAACAUAGUUAAUCUAAGAAAAUUAUACAUUAUAAAAGAAAUCGAAAUAAAAUAGGAGUAGGAUUUGUUUUUAUGAAUUUAGAGAUUUAAUACUACAUAAAAUUAUCUUAGAAGAAAUGUAUUCAACAUUGAAUUAGAUCUAUCGUAUGUACCAAAUUCUCAAUAUAGAUGACAUAGCAAAAAUCCUCAAAAUCUAACAAAUGAGUAAGAAAUAAUAAUGAAAUGAAAUAAAAUUUUCAACCAAAAAGAAGAAAGAUGAGAAAUCUUAGCCUAUAAAAAUAAAUUAUUUAUAUUUACUAAGAAUAGAGCACAUAUAAGUAAACUUAAUAGAGAGAAAUAAUCACCAAUAUACAUAAUCUCAUCAAAUAAAUUGCCACUAUUCAAAGAAAAAAAUAUUGAAACUCAUGUGAAGCAUUUUCUUUACACAAGUAAAACUAAAAUGAUUCAUGUAUGCAUAUUUUGGUAGUGUCAGAUAUAUAUAAAAUUUUUUGGGGCUUUUCUUCUUCCAUCUUUUAGCACAUUAUUACUCCAUAUUAAUAAAAUUAAUUAGGAAUUAUAAAGGUUGGAGGUGAAAGAAUACAUGAAUAUAUACUAUUAAAUUUCUAAUAAAGAAGGUAAUCAUAGUGAGAGGUGAAGAGUUGAUCGAUUGAAUAAGUAAUUUUUAAAUUAUAAAAAUAAAAUAAAUGAAGAAAAAUGGUCAAAAAAAAAAAAGGAGAAUAGAGAUAAAUAAGAAUGGAAGCCAUAGAGAAUUGUCAUAUCACCUUCUCUAUGACUCUCCUUUAUAUAUAUACUAGAAGUGCAAGGCCCGUGUCAGCACGAGCCCAACAAUAAAACAUGUGGAUUACAAUUUUUAAGUUUUAGAAUUUAUAUUGGAGAAGGAAGUUUGAGCAGUAGAAUAUUUUCAUUGGUACAAUAAAAUAUACUUAUAAAAUAUACUUCUGUAAAAAAAAUUUCAAACUUUUCUUUUGUAUAUAUUCCUUCCAUUGAAACGUAGGAUUCGUUUGUUAUAGUGUAUAAAUUUUCUUUUUGAAUAGAAUAUAUUAGUAAUGUUUGUAUUAGUAAUUCUUCUAUUAGUAAAUGCUGAUAUUAUUUAUGUUAACAUUAGUUCUUAUACAUUGUUUAACGUGCUUCAUUAAAAUUUACCUUUUCGAUUUUGAUAUAUUUAAAUAAAAGUUUUUUUUUUUAAAGAAUUACAUAUACAUUUUAAGAUUCAUUCGAGAUCUAGCACGGGUUCAAUAUAUUAAUUUUUAUCUCAAUUUAUGUGACACAAAUAGAAUUUAGAUAAUCAAUCAUACUUUUAAUAGGUAUUUAGAUAAUUUAAUUUGUUAAUUAUUGUAAUUUAUAAUAUUUUUUUAUGUAAUUUUCAAAUAAUAUGUAUUAUUUUUCUUGUCCAAACUUUUGUGGCAUUGAUAGUCNNNNNNNNNNNNNNNNNNNNNNNNNNNNNNNNNNNNNNNNNNNUUUUUAAAUAAUUUAAAUUUUUUAUCAUUGUAAUUUUUAAUAUUUUUUUUAUUUCAACUUAUGUGGCACAAUGCUUAAAUGGCCAUAAUAAUUAAUUAUGGGUGAUAUAGUCAAAUGUAAUUAUUAUUAUUUAUUAUUUUUAUUAUGUAUAUAUGUUGAUUCAAAAAGAAUUUGAAAACAUUUAGAAAUGUGUUGAAUGUUACAAAUGUUAAUAAUCCAUUUGGUGUUCUUGAUUUCUCUACAUUUAUCUCUUGUGUGUUUUUACUCUUUUGCCCUUUAAAUUCAUUACUCUUCUUAUUCAAAUUUUUGUGGCAUUGAUAGUUAAUUAUAUUUUAAAAAUAAUUUAAGUUUUUAAUUAUUGUGAUUUAUAAUAUUUUUCUUAUAUUCCAAUUUCAGUGGCACUAAUAUAAUUUCAAGAAUUGACCAAAUAUUUUAUAUCUUUUACAUCUUUUAAGCUGUUAAUUAUUAUGAUUUCUAGUAUUUUUCAUGUAAUUUUUUUUUGAAAUACAUAACAUAUUAAAUUGUUUUUAGAUAUUUUAAGUUGUUAACUAUUGUAAUUUAUAAUAAUUUUUAUUUAUUUAUUUUUUGAAUAAUGUAUGCUACUCUCCUUGUCCAGAGUUUUGUGUCGACAAUAGCCGAUUAUAUUUUUAAAUAAUUUAAAUUUUUUAUCAUUGUAAUUUUUAAUAUUUUUUUUAUUUCAACUUAUGUGGCACAAUGCUUAAAUGGCCAUAAUAAUUAAUUAUGGGUGAUAUAGUCAAAUGUAAUUAUUAUUAUUUAUUAUUUUUAUUAUGUAUAUAUGUUGAUUCAAAAAGAAUUUGAAAACAUUUAGAAAUGUGUUGAAUGUUACAAAUGUUAAUAAUCCAUUUGGUGUUCUUGAUUUCUCUACAUUUAUCUCUUGUGUGUUUUUACUCUUUUGCCCUUUAAAUUCAUUACUCUUCUUAUUCAAAUUUUUGUGGCAUUGAUAGUUAAUUAUAUUUUAAAAAUAAUUUAAGUUUUUAAUUAUUNNNNNNNNNNNNNNNNNNNNNNNNNNNNNNNNNNNNNNNNNNNNNNNNNNNNNNNNNNNNNNNNNNNNNNNNNNNNNNNNNNNNNNNNNNNNNNNNNNNNNNNNNNNNNNNNNNNNNNNNNNNNNNNNNNNNNNNNNNNNNNNNNNNNNNNNNNNNNNNNNNNNNNNNNNNNNNNNNNNNNNNNNNNNNNNNNNNNNNNNNNNNNNNNNNNNNNNNNNNNNNNNNNNNNNNNNNNNNNNNNNNNNNNNNNNNNNNNNNNNNNNNNNNNNNNNNNNNNNNNNNNNNNNNNNNNNNNNNNNNNNNNNNNNNNNNNNNNNNNNNNNNNNNNNNNNNNNNNNNNNNNNNNNNNNNNNNNNNNNNNNNNNNNNNNNNNNNNNNNNNNNNNNNNNNNNNNNNNNNNNNNNNNNNNNNNNNNNNNNNNNNNNNNNNNNNNNNNNNNNNNNNNNNNNNNNNNNNNNNNNNNNNNNNNNNNNNNNNNNNNNNNNNNNNNNNNNNNNNNNNNNNNNNNNNNNNNNNNNNNNNNNNNNNNNNNNNNNNNNNNNNNNNNNNNNNNNNNNNNNNNNNNNNNNNNNNNNNNNNNNNNNNNNNNNNNNNNNNNNNNNNNNNNNNNNNNNNNNNNNNNNNNNNNNNNNNNNNNNNNNNNNNNNNNNNNNNNNNNNNNNNNNNNNNNNNNNNNNNNNNNNNNNNNNNNNNNNNNNNNNNNNNNNNNNNNNNNNNNNNNNNNNNNNNNNNNNNNNNNNNNNNNNNNNNNNNNNNNNNNNNNNNNNNNNNNNNNNNNNNNNNNNNNNNNNNNNNNNNNNNNNNNNNNNNNNNNNNNNNNNNNNNUGAUAAGGUCCAAACAUUAAAACACAAAAUACAAUUUUCCUAAACAAACUAAUCUUGCAAAGUAUUUUAUAGACCUUAGUAUCCUAAAACUUUAUUUUAAUAUCCAUAAGCUAACAUAUCAAAACCAUCAUUUCUAAUAUAUAGAAAUAGAAAAAUAAUAUUUUUUUAAAUAAUUUAAAUUUUUAAUUAUUGUGUAAACUUUUUCUAUUCCAAUUUAAGUGACAUGAUACUUAGAUGACCAUAAUAAUUAAUUAAAGAUAAUAUAAUAAAAUCACGAUUUAAUAUAUUAGGACAAAAUUUAAAAUAGGUGAAAAUGUAAUAACAAAUAAGAAAGAAAGUAAAUUAUAUGUUUGAUAUGAAAUUAAAUAAAUAAUAAAAUUUAUUUAAUUGUAUCAAUUAUAAUUAAUUUUUACAAUAAAUUAUCAUCCUACUAAUCAAUUUACUUAAAUAUAUUUGAAAUAAUUUUAUACAUAAAAAUAAAAAAGAUAAAUAAGAUUAAAAAAUAAAUGAAAGAUAGAGAGUCCACAUGUGUGUGUGAGAAAUAUGUGUGAUGAUGACAUUGUUGUAAAUUUCUUCAAUGGCAUUGCUUGUAAUUAAAAAGAAAAUAAUGAAUUUUUAUUCAAAUUUUUGAUGAAGUUCCAAAGUCAAAAGCAAAAAAAAUAAUUGAACUGAGCUUAUGAUUUACUGUAAUGACCAAACCAACUCUUCUAUAAUAUAGAAAUAUUGAUUCAUCUUGUGCUGAAUUGUGGGAAAAUAAUAUUCGAUUCCAAGAAGAGUAUACUUUUUAUUCAUACAUGCUGGAUAUGAUAUGAUAAUACAUACUACUUGUAAGGAGACUCCACAAGCACAUAGAUACCUCUGCAUAAAAACGACAGCCUUCAACCUUCACAGUAUGUAAAUACAGAGAAGCAGAACGAUGAGUAUUUUCCAAGAGAUGAUAGAUGAAAGAUGUUUUAAAUCUGGAAUGUUUGGAGUAAUAGUUAGCAGCAGUGAGAUUGAACCCUCGGUCCUGUUCUGAGACUACGAGUUGUUCAUGCAAUGCAGGUCAUAUGAUGUAGUCAGACCAUCCAGAUAUGAAAGAUGUAUGGUCCAUACUCUCUCCAGGACAUUCCUCAUGCUUCGUUGGCUGUUCCUUUCCUCCCACUAACCUAGCUGGAUUCCCAACUGCAGUUGUUCGUGGUGGUACGUCAAUCAAGACCACUGAUCCAGCACCAAUCUUUGCACCCUCGCCAAUAUUCACGUUGCCUAAUAUUGUGGCACCUGCACCUAUGAGCACCCCAUCACCAAUCUUAGGGUGUCGGUCACCGCCAAUCUUACCUGUUCCUCCUAAGGUUACGUGAUGAAGAAUUGACACAUUGUUUCCAAUAACUGCAGUCUCGCCAACUACUACUCCUGUUGCAUGGUCAAAGAGGAUGCCUUUCCCGAUUUUGGCAGCUGGAUGAAUGUCAACAGCAAAAACAUCAGAGAUUCGGGAUUGAAGUGCAAGUGCAAGUGGCCUUCGGGAUUGAGACCAAAGUUUGUGAGAUACUCGAUGUGCCUGAAAAAUACAACAACAACAUUAACCAGUGCGCAAUCAGUAUGAUAUGAAGUAGCCCCUUGACUUGUUUCAAGAAGGGAAGUGGGGGCAGAAACACAUUCAUAAUAUAUUAAUAGCUACUCAUUUUAUUGAAACAAAAAAUCAUUUCGCAGUUGUAAACCAAAGGGAACAUUUUCUUUUUCCGUUCCAGUUUAGAAUAUGGUGAACAGUCCAAAUGCAUCUGUAAAGUUCAGCAGAGAGCCAAUUCAGCACAUGGUAGCUAAUGAACAUUGUUUAACAGAAAAGGAAAGAUAAAUUGCAUACAUUCAGCUUCAAGAAAAAAAAGAAGAUAAAUUCCUUACACAUUCAUUUACAUCCACAUAUGUAAGUAUGUUCAGGUUUUCCUACACAAAUAAACAGGAUAACCCAGGGGUACGAUGUUCCAUAAGCCGCUAUCUCAAAAUGGAUUGGGAUGGAAUAGAAAAAACAAGGAACUAGUGCUAAAGGAUUUCUGUUUGAAGUAACAAGCUAGUGAAGAAGAAAGCUUAUCCGACCCCCGAUUGGCAGCAACCAAGUUCCGGAUCACUUCCAAACUUCGUCCACUCUUUGGUUCUUGUUUUUUAUGUGAGGUAGGUAGAAGACCACCUAACUGACAACCUUUUAUCUUUGUACUACUUUCGAACCAUACCUACCACAGCUACCAACCAGAUACUAUCGACUACUGAGCAAACAACAUGCACAUCAAUUGGGAUGAUGACCAAUAAAAUGUAGGACAAUAGGAGUACAACCUAUACUGACUCCUCUUCCCCUUCAUCAAAUGCUUUUAACUGGUCCAUCACACUCCAUGGCUCCAGUGCAGCACACACUUUCAUCAUUUUAAUCCGUUCAGCCAUGAUAUAAUUAUUCAUAAAUAGUAGUUUGUCCAUGAAGAGUCGGAUAUCGAGUGAAGUCUUAUUUGAACUAUAAAUGUGAUCUUGUAAUAGUGGUUUAGAAGUUUAUUUGAAGCAAGGCUUUUCAAGAAAAUUUACAACAUUCACAAGCUUCUUUUACCAAGUGAAUUUCAUGUCCAAAGAUAAACGUUAACUUCCACAAACUUCUCCAAUUUCAAAUGCUCUCUUUUCAACUUCAACUCAAUCGCUAUCCAAACACAUACUAAGUAAACAUCCCAAGAAGGAUCUAAUUUCACUACCUUGCUAAAGUAAUAUUUCAACAAAUGUGCCUACUGACUAUUGCUAUAACAUAGUAGUACAUUACCAACUAAGUCUUGAACAAUGUCAAAUCCCAAAGUGAAAAGGUCAUACGCCAUUAUCAGUCACAUUCAAGUAUAUUGGCACAUGCCAUAUACUUCUAACAUCCUAUGUCAAUCUUUUGUUUGUUAUUACUUCCAAGGCAACAAUGGUAAAAUUUGAGUCUCCCUGAUGAAGACUCAAUUCAACCAGGGUGGGGACUAGUGUGCCGCAAGGGGGGUGUUCAUCAUUGAAAUAUUAAACUGUAUAUACAAGGUCGAGUUAUUUUGUCCGUAUAUAUAUACUAGAUAUUAAAUCUCUUUGACUUUCGUGUAUUUACUUCUCUAUAUUUUGAACCCCUUUAUUGAAAAUCUCAGCUCCGCCAUUUAAAAACUUCAUUCAUCAAAUUUUCAUACAAUGCAUCUCUAACUUCUAAAUCCACCCAAAACGUGCAUCUUUUCUUACUCAAAGGUCCUCAUCUUUCCGGAAAAGUUUCACAAAAGUUACAAUUGUUCAUGAUAGACAAUUUCACAAUAUAUCCUCAAGUGAAGAAAUAUUCCCUCCAUCUACUUAUACUUACACACUAUAAUAAAAAGGGAAACAGAUGUCCAUUUUUAGUUGUACAGUUUAGAAAAUCAAAACAACAGAUAAUGUAUCACUUAGUUCCUAAUUUACUCUUAAUAUUUCUCAAAACACUAAAUUUAUCAGCGUAAAAGAUUAAAAAGCUACACUUAAAAUAUCUCGAUUUUUUGAGUUUCACAGUUGAACUAUGAGUUGUGCGAGUUUCCUCCCUAAAUUGCCACCAACUAUUAAUCAAAACACAUCGCAGCUAUCAAUUAUUCCUACAUGAAAUAUCACCAUAAUUCAUUUACUAAACAUGAACAAUUGAUAGUUAAGGCGUGUUUGAUAAAUAACCUGUGAUAGUUCAUGUAGAAAAACUCACAUAACUCAUAGUUCAACUAUGAAACCCGAAAAACCAGCAUACUAAGUAUGUUUUUACCAUUAAAUCUAUAUUCAAAGAGUAAAAACAACAACAACAACAUACCCAGUGUAAUCACACAAAGUGGAGUCCGGGGAGGGUAGAAAUGUGUGCAGGUUAUUUCUAAUAUACCUUCCCCUCAAGAAUAAACAGUCCAAAGCAUUAUUAUAUAAAAAAAACAAUAACUGAACUAUAUUCAAAUAGUGAUAUGGUAAAAUUAACACAACACAAUACAACACGGAAAAUGAUAACAAUCUAUCAAGACAUUAUAUUAGUUAACGUAAUACAACAUAACACGGAAAACGAUACAAUCUAUCCCAACAUUAUAUUCAUGGAUACAACACAACAUAAAAGAUAUACAAUCUAUCCAAAUGUUACAUUCAUUAACACAGCACAACACGAACGAAAGUAAUACAAUCUAUCCAAACAUUAUAUUCAUUAACACACCACAAUACACAAAGCGAUACAACAUAUCCAAACAUAGUAUUCAUUAUCACAACACAACACGAAAAACGAUACAAUCUAUCGAAACACAAUAGUAUUAAUUACCACAACACUAUGUAAAAAUGAUACAAGUCAUCCAAAACACUAUAUUUUUUUUCGACAACCGUGAUAUUCGGAUCAAUUUUUGCGCACCUUGACUAGAUCCCGCGAUACCUGUCACCUCCCACCAACAACCGAUACCAGAUACCUUACCUCUGUCCACAAGGCUAGGACAGAUGGUAAGAAAGAAUCACCUAGUGUUUUUUGUCUUUGCUGGGAUUUGAACAUGAGACAUCAGGCUCUCAACCCACUUCAUCGACCACUUAAUGAAAAACAAUACAAUCCAUCCAAAACACUAUGAGGUCGUUUGGUGGAGUGCAUUGAAAAAAAACAAUGCAAGCAUUAACUUUGUAUAUUACUAACAACUUGUUUGGUACACUUUUUCAUCCUAUGUAUUACCAAUAUUUGAAUUAGUUAUACGCUCUAUUUAGUAUUAAAAAGUAUUCCUAAUACAUAGAAAUCCAUGGCAAUAGUAAUGCAAUGGAUUCUAAUGCAUUAGUAUGGUUAAAGUCACAAUUACCCCUCAAAAUCUUUUUCACAUCCUUUCUAUCAUAUUUAUGAAAGAUAUUUUUGUAAAAACAUUAUCUUCUUUUGAAAUUUAUGCAAUUCAUGUUAUUUUUAACACACCAAACCAAACACUGCAUAAGAAAAAUGCAAGCAUAACUAACACCAACAUUACUAAUGCAAGUCCACCAUAUUCUGCACUAUUCUUAUACACCCUACCAAACGACCCCGGCCCUAUAUUCAUUAACACAACACUUAAUAAUAAAUGAUAAAAUCUAUCCAAACAAAAUAACAAACUGUAAAACGUGCGACAACUCAAUAUUGAACAACUAAAAAUUGAACCAAAAAACGUGCAACAACUCAAUACUGAACAACUAAAAAUUGAACAAAAACCGGUAAUUAUGCACCUGACAAGCAAGCAACCCUUUAUAAUUAAGCAAACAAUGCGAAAACAAACAAGCAAAAAUGAACGAAAAUGUGCAACAACUCAAUACUAGACAGGUAAAAUUGAACGAAAACGUGCAACAACACAAUACUGAACAAGUAAAAAUUGAACGAAAGCUGACAUGAAAGGAACCCUUUAUAAUUAAGCAAACAAUGCAAAAACGAACAAGUAAAAAUGAAUGAAAACGCGCAACAACUCAAUACCGGACAGGUAAAAUUGAACAAAAACAUGCAACAACUCAAUACAGAACAACUAAAAACGAACAAAAACAUGCAACAACUCAGUACUGGACAAGUAAAAAUGAACAAAAUGUGUGACAAACUCAAUACUAAACAAGUAAAACCGAACGAAAACGCUCAACAACUCAAUACUUAACAACUAAAAUGACUCAAUACCGAACAAGUAAAAAAUGAACGAAAACGUGCAACAACGAACAACUAAAACUGAACGAAAACGUGCAACAACUCAAUACUGAACAAGUAAAAAUUGAACGAAAACUGUUAAUUACGCACCUGACAAGCAAGGAACCCUUUAUAAUUAAGCAAACAAUGCGAAAACGAAACACAAGCCGGAUCCCGAUACCGCGCCGCAAGCAAAUCAGCCGACGCAGCAGCACGCAAUUCAGGAUCAGUAGAGAAAGUAUUAAGGAACAAAUCGUAGAGAAGCGUAGACAAAAGCGUUGAAGAACAAAGCUUAUUUCCUAAAUGGAAAGAGAGCGAACGCUCGAGCGAAGAAUGAGAUAGUAUUGUUGAGUAUAAAUAGCUAGCUAAUGCCGGCUCAGCUUCGGCGUCGCGCCGAGCUUCGGCUUUGAUUUUUGUCCAUAGCCAUAUGGCUUCUUCCGCCGUGUCCGUCGGUGGAUGCGGCGUUGCUGGGGUGGCGUUACGGUGGUGUUCCUCCGCCGGCAUUUUGUGAAACGGUGCCGUUUGUUUUGGCGGAGCUUGUGAGAUUUGGGGGUAUUUAUAGAUUAAUCUAAAGAUGACACAUGGAAAGAUUUGAACUUAUCAACUUUCUAGAAUGUUACCGUCGUAUAACUAAUCUACAUAUUAAUUUUAAAAUAAAAUUAUUUAUAUUAAAACUGGAUAAAAUACAUAAAUUAUUGAUUAUUAACUAUUUUAAAAUUAUAAUGUUAUAUAAUUAAUAAUAAAAUAGUUAAUCUCAAAAUAAUUAAUAUUGGAACUAAACGAUCCUUAUAGAAAAAUAUUUUUGUGAGAUUUUUUUCCCUUUUUAGAGGAGUUAUUUAUGGAAAAAUUAGCUAUAACUCUUCCGCCGGCAAUUUGGAAAACGGUGCCGUUUUGGUGGAGGAUUUUUGAAGUGUUGGUGAGAUUUGGAAGUAUUUAUCGAUUUGUAAGUAUUGCACAGAAAGAUGACACGUGGAAAGAUUUUGGACUAAUCAACUUUCUAGAAUGUUACGGCUCUUUGGCAGGAAGGGACGAGGAUAACUAAUCUCGAGAUUAUUUUUAACAUGAGCUUUAUCUCAUUUUUAAUUGGAAUAAAUGCAUGGAAUUACUCAUUUAGGAAUGAAUUAUCUUGAAAUUAUAUUACUAUAAAAUUAUUUUCAAAAUAAUUAAUAUUAGGACUAAACGACUUCUUAGAUAAAAUUAUUAUAAUUAUAAUCAAAUAAAUACAUAAAUAAGUAUGCGACGGUAGGGGUGUGCAAAAUCAAACGGACUGAUAAAUCGAAUCGAUAAAAAUGUUAUUGGUUUAUUAUUAUUGAGUUAUUGAGUUAACGGUUUUUUAAAAAACAAUAUUGGGUUAUUGGUUCGGUUCGAUUUUUUCUUAUUAGGUUAUUAGGUAAAUCGAUAACCCAAUAUAUAUAUAUAUAUAUAUAUGUGUGUGUGUGUGUGUGUGUGAAUUAUUAUAUAUUUCUCUUAAUUUCUCUUUAAUUUAUACAAAUUAGCAAACAUAUUAUUUCAAUUAUACAAACUCUUAAUUUCUCCUGACAAUAGUUAGUUCAAACUUAAGAUUCUUGUAAAUUAAAACACAUUAUAUAGGAUUUUUAGUUGCAACUAAGAUUCAGUUUUUUUCAUGUUAGUUACUAAUAUUUCUAUUUUAUGAGUAUUUUUUUAUCGGUUAAACCGAAAUCAAACCGUUAAGGACUAAAAAUAGAUAAAUAGAAAAUCGAUAAAAAAAUAUCUUAUUGGUUUGACUAUUGGUUUAGCAUAUUUAAAAAUCAAAAAUCGAUAAACCUAACCAAUAAUAUGUAAAAUCGAAUCGAUCGAUGCACACCCCUAUGCGACGGUGUUAUUUCCAGAAGGUGUUAUUUUAUGGGGAAAAAAAAUACUACCCUCCGUCACAAAUUGAGAUGACAUAUUUAUUAACAAAAAUAAUUAAUAAUAUGACUAGUUUACUUUAGUGCUUCUAUUAAAUGGUGUUUAUAUUUUAAUUUGAAGAAAAAAUAAUUAAUGCAAAGGGUAAAACAUGAAAAAAAAUUUGUCUCUUCUUGAUUAAUAAAAAAAAAAAGUAAAAUAAAAAAUCAAAUUAAAAAAUUUAGGAUAGAUAAUUUGAGACGGAGGGAGUAUAUCAAAGUUUGAAUCUUUGACAAAUGAAACAAAUAAUACAAUGGAAACAAAUAAUGUCUCCACAUUAAACAGUGACUAAAGUUUAAUUAAUUUAAAAUAAUGAUUAAAAUUUAAUUACUAAUUAAGUUUAAAAAGAAAAAAAUUGGUUAUUAAGCUUCUUCAAGUACUCAAUUAGUAAAAUGUCACGCUUCUAUUUUGUCAUCUAUCGAAUUGAUAAUUGAUUUGUCCAUAUAUGGACCGAGUCGAUAAUCGACCUAUCAAACUGAUAAUCAAUUUGUUCAUAUAUAGGUUAGAUUGAUAAUCGAUCUGUCUAUAUAUAUGUUGGAUUGAUAAUCAAUAUGUUGGAUUGAUAAUCAAUUUGUCUAUAUAGGCCGGAUCGAUAAUCGACCUGUCGAAUUGAUAAUUGAUCUGUCCAUAUAUAGGUUAGAUUGAUAAUCGAGCUGUCCCUAUAUAGGUUGGAUUGAUAAUCAAUAUGUUGAAUUGAUAAUCAAUUUGUCUAUAUAUGGGCCGGAUCGAUAAUCGACCUGUCGAAUUGAUAAUCGAUCUGUCCAUAUAUGGGUUAGAUUAAUAAUUGAUCUGUCCAUAUAUAAGCUGGAUUGAUAAUCGAUCUGUUGGAUUGAUAAUCAAUCUAUCUAUAUAUGGGGCGGAUCGAUAAUCGACCUGUCGAAUUGAUAAUCGAUCUGUCCAUAUAUAGGUUGAAUUGAUAAUUAAUUUAUCUAUAUAUCGAUCGGAUAGAUAAUAGAUUUUCUAAAAAAAAAAAUAAUUUAACUAAAAAGAAGUUCAAAAAGUGACUAUUUGUAUAUUUGUCCCCUAUAAAAUACAUGAAAAUUCAAAAAACACCCCCCAAUUUUUUUUUUCCAACACAACAUGUCUUCCCUUUUCUUCUCUAGCAGUUUCAGUCCUCUCUCUAUUGCUCUCAGAAGAUCCACUCUCUGCAGAUUUUCUUCAAUUGUUACUUGUAAAGCUCCCAAUUUUUACUCUUUUAACACUUCGAAAAACUCAAAUUUUCAAUAAUUCAUUUUCUUAUGCUUUUUUUUUUUUGUGUGUGUGUGUGUGCAGAUGCUACAGAGGAAGAGAAAUCAAGAUUCAUACACCCCACUUCUGUUGUUCAUCCAAAUGCUCUAUUGGGUGAUGUAAAGAUUCAAUCUUUUCUUUGUUUAUGCUUUAUUUUUGUUGUUGUUGAUGAAGAUAUGAAGUUUUUACCAUUUAUAGAUGUUUGUUCUAGUAGCAAGUUUAAUUUUGCCUCAUUAGUAAUUAAUUUGUUGGGAAGAGUGCUUUAUUUGUAUCUGUGCCUUAGUUUCUUGUGUAGUUCUCUUGUUCGUUGUGUUUUGGUGAUGUGUAUGAUUUCAAAUAGCUAGUUUAUAGUAUUGGUGUGAUAUCUCUUUUUGUUGUUUGCUUUUAUGUUUUUGGUUUGUUAUACUGUUAUCUGUUCUGAGCCAGGGUCCAAUCGGAAACAACCUCUCUAAUUCAUAUGAGAUAAUGGUAUGGACUGCCUACACUUUACCCUCCCAGACCCAUCUUUGUGGGAAUAUACUGGGUAUGUUGUUGUUAUUGUAGUAAUGAAAUCAUGUAUAUUUCAAUUAAGAGCUGUACAUGAUGCUACAGAGGAAGAGAAACUCGUCGAUAUAAUUGAUGAAAAAUCAAGAUUCAUUCACCCCACUUCAGUUGUUCAUCCAAAUGCUAUAUUGGGUGACGUAAAGAUUCAAUCUUUUCUUUGUUUAUGCCCUUUUUUUGUUGAUGAAAAUAUAAAGUAUUGCUAUUUAUAGAUGUUUGUUCUAGCAGCAUGUUUAAUUUUGCUUCAUUAGUAAUGUAAUCAUGUAUAUUUUAAUUAAGAAUUGUACAUGUAGCCGGGGUCUAUCGGAAACAGCCUCUCUACUUCUUCGGAGGUAGCGGUAUGAACUGCGUACAUUUUACCCUCCCCAGAACCCACUUUGUGGGAAUACACUGGGUUUGUUGUUGUUGCUCCAAAGGAAGAGAAACUCAUCGAUAUGAUUGAUGAAAAAUCAAGAUCCAUUCACCCCACUUUAGUUGUUCAUCCAAAUGCUAUAUUGGGUGAUGUAAACAUUCAAUUUUUUUUACUCCAUCUGUUCUGUUUUAGUUGUCAUGUUUCGUUUUUCGAGAUUCAAUUUGACUAAUUUUCAAAGCUAAAUUAGAUUAGAUUAAUUUAACAUUUUAAAAUUAACAUUUAAAUAUUCAAAAACUAUACGAAGAGUACUAUAAGUUGCAUAUUUUUCUUUUUUCGAUAAGAUCAAAAUACACAUCUUAAAAUAUUGAUCGAAGUUUAUAUUGUUUUACUCUAAAGAAGGAAACUAUGACAACUAAAAAGGAACGAAGGGAGUAUCAGUUUAUGUUUUUCUGUUGAUGAAAAAUUUGAAGUCUUAGCCAGUAGUAGCAAGUUUAAUUUUGCUUCAACUCAUGAAAAAUCAAGAUUCAUGAACCCCACUUAUCGACGAAGGAGAUUCAAUUGACAAAUUUCUCUGAAUCUAGCUUACCCCCUAUCACUAACAAUUAAUGUUAAAUAAAAACGGUUUAAAACAUGUUAUUUGUUGGAUUUUAAUCUGUUAAAACCUAUUUUACUUGGACUUAAUAAAUUUUGCAUAUGGUUUAGUUGUUUCUGUUUUUGCGUCAUUAUACAUAAUGCGGAAAAUUAGAGCAUUUGAUUAGGGUUAGAAUCUCUGAUUAUAACUUGCCAAGUGGUCUUGAGUCUUACAAGUUGGGAAAGUAAGGGAAAAGUUUCAAACUCUUUGCUGCAUAGGGAAUAAUAGGUCAUGGUCGUCAACAAUAAAUGCCAUUGCUCUGGUGAUAUUUGUCCGCUUUAUAAAGUUUCUUAGUUACAGCUUAGGUAGUGAAGAUUUGAGAUUAGAAAUGUUGAAGAUCCUUUCUCGAAGGAAAUUUUUGUAGUAUACAGUCUUAGUUUUGGACAUGAUUUGUACUUCUUCUCUACAACUUCUUAUAUUGGAGAGACUUCAUGUAACUUCUCUUGUUGUAUUUAGCGGGCUUAUCCAAGAAUAUAUAAAUGGAGAUAAAAGAUCCAUAUAGGUAAUUCCGACUAGUUGAAGUUAUUAUUACAUUCACUGUAGGUCCGAUGUUUGCAAAGAGUCCUUUAUGUUGGUUAAAGACUUGUCUCUCGGUGUUGGGAUAAGUGUGAGAUUUAGAGAAUGCUGUUUUUUUUCUGUACAAGAUAAAUGUGAAAUUAUUUAUUGUUUGGCCUGAGAUAUGCUCGAAAUAUAGCAAAAAUGAAUGUAGAGAUCCAUACAGCUAAUCCUACCUAGUUGCAAUUGAUGUGUGGUUGUUGAUUGAUCUAUUAGGAUAUGUUACGUUUCUUCCUUUGGCUCAUUUCAGUUUAUCCACUUUAUUGGAGACGUUAAGCUUUCUAUGUUAAGGCCUUAGGUGAAUCAGCAUUUUGCGGAUAGUUAAAGGAGCUUUUUCUGCAUGUAGGGUGUUUCAAUUGGUCCCUUCUGUACCAUCGGGCCUUUUGCAAAGUUGGGAAGCACUUGUCAAUUGUACCCUGGAAGCCACAUCUUUGGAAAUACCGAACUAGGGGACAAUUGCAUCCUGAUGACGUGAGUUAAAACUUCUUUUUUAUUGGACUUGAGUUUACUUCCUUUCUGUUCUCUCCAGUACCGUUUAGGGUGCAUAUUUUUAACAGUGGUGCUGUAAUUGGAGAUGAUCUUCCUGGUCAUACAGUCGUUGGGAGAAACAAUGUUUUUGGGCAUCAUGCUGUAAUUGGCGUCAAGUGCCAGGACAUGAAAUAUAAGGUCAGUAUCCUGAUGUUUAGCUCAUUACCGAAAAAAGUUAAAAUAAAUUGAAAAACAUUAUGAAAAUAUUCACACCUUUAUUUAUUCAAUACUGCUUUAUCACAACGUAAGAUUUAAAUUUGUGCUGCCGUUGAAUUGAGAAGCAACGUUUGGCUUAUGAGCUCAGACUUGCAUCCAUCAGUUCAAUGAUCCGUCUGUUCAUCACGAUCACCCUCUCCCACCCUCAAAUUUAAGUAGGUGGUGCUUAUUUGGGAAUGCACAGAUUCAUUAUCUUGUUUGUAAUUUGACUGUUUCAGUUUGGGAAUGAGUGCUUUCUCGAGAUUGGCGACAACAAUGAAAUCAGGGAACAUGUAUCCAUCCAUCGAUCUUCAAGCCCAACUGAUAAAACCGUAUGAAACUAGCUCGUCAAAUUUUCGGUAGUGAAAGUUAAAAAUUCCGGUGUAUAGGUUCUUGUAACGAUCUUACAUAAACAGGUCAUUGGUGAUAAUAAUCUUAUUAUGGGCUCCUGCCAUAUUGCUCAUGACUGCAAAGUGGGAAACAACAAUAUUUUGGCAAACAGCACACUUCUUGCAGGUCAUGUUGUGGUGGAGGUGAGUGACUAUUCCUCUUUAGUCAUUUUCGCGAAGCUUGACCUAUUCUGGAAAACAUAAUCGAACUGAUAGAUGAUCGUUUAAAUUCUUCACAUACAGGACUAUGCUCACACUGCAGGAGGUAUUGUAGUUCAUCAGUUUUGCCGUAUUGGUUCUUAUUCUUUCAUUGGUGGUGGUUCAGUGGUAAUAUUUUCUUUUACUUCAAAUAUUUUUCCAUCUUUUAGUUUUUCGAAAGACUGAGUCUUUCUCGUGGUAAAUUAAUAUAUCAAGAGUUUCGUUGUUUGGGUGUUCUACCUGAAUGGAAACAAUAAUUCGUCAGCAAAGCUUCUAUAAUGCUAGGCUCUUGAGUUGUUCUUUAAUUAAGUUGCACCUAAUGAAUAUUAGCUUCGAACCGCUUACUUUAAGUUGAAUAUCAUGAAAUUAUUCUUCUGCAUUUCUAAGAUCGGAAGCACAACGCUAACUGAAUUUGAGAUCACACAUUUGUUCCCUUUUUGGAUCUCAAUCUGUUUGUUCUCCAGGUUUCUCAAGAUGUUCCAAAGUACAUAAUUGUUUCCGGGGAAAGAGCUGAGCUUCGUGGGUUGAACCUUGAAGGUUUAAGACGCCGUGGAUUCUCUGCUACGGAGGUUUGUUUCAUUUUUAAAAUAAUUAUCCUAUGUUUCUAGCAAAUAGAUAUAGAAAUUUAAUUUUUCAUAAGCAAAAACCCAUAUAUGGAUGACAUGGAUUACUCUCGAGGUUUUAAUUGGUCUCUGUCUUCACUGCAUUGGUCGUGUAAUUUUGUAAGUGGAAUGUAUUUUUUAGCAGCACCUGCUUCAUCAUGAGCCAGUUCCUACGUGUUUAACUACGUGUUCAUCCCAGUUUGUGUUUAACUACGUGUUCAUCCUCUUUUCUAACAUUUACUGGGGCAGCACGGUUCACAAAGCAUCCCGUGUUAGCAGGGUCAAGGGGAGGGCCGCAUCCCAUAGGUGUGAUGUAGACAUCGUAACUGCUUCCAUGGCGCAAGCAUAGGUCACAUGGAGACAACUUUCCAUAAUUCCGUUGGUCCGAGGCUUUCCUUCAGUUCUAACAUUUAUUAUGACUUCUUUUUCUACUUGGUAGUGUUUUAAUCAAUAAGAAAAGCAACUUCAGUUUUGUGGUAUUCUCUGGAGAAAAGACUCACUGCUGCAUAUAUUGGAUAUAUGCCAAGUAAUAAUACUCCCAACGAGGAAGAAGUUCUAUAUAAUUACUUAAAUGCUGAUCCUAAAGAUUGACAUAUGAGACAUUGCGUAAUCUGGUAAUCUGAAACAUGUAAUGGUGUGAUUUAGGUUCAAGUCAGAAGUUCGAACCGUGUCAUAGACAAAACCUGGUAUUGACGUUAGGAGGAAGGUAGUGGGGGGGGAGAGCCAGAAAUCUACUGGGGAUAUCUCUGAUAUCAAAAAAGAAAAUUGUAGAUACCUGCAAGGGUGACCAAGUUGAUUGAGUAGGGAUCUCCUAAAUGUGGGGGUCUUGGGUUAUAACCGCCCUACAUGAUUUCUCGGCUGAGCUCGUUGCACGGGGUUUGCCUACUGCAGCUUAACUCUCCUCUGUGGUUUGCGAUGGAGCAGAGUUUACCCCGUGAGCACCCGAAGGAUAGUAGCUGCUGGUUCCAUUGUCAUUGAAAAGAAAAUUGAUGAUCUUUUUGCCGUUUCCAUUACAAGCUAUUAAAAGAUCGAUGGACUAUCAGUUUCAAUAUAUUAAAUUGCUAUAACUUUGUCCGUAGUUUAAUAUUUUCUUGGCAAGUAUACAGAUUAAGAGCUUGAGAGCAGCGUACAGAAAGAUAUUUAUGCCCACUGAUAUGAGUUCUGGGAAUAUUGAAGAUCGACUAGCGCAAGUGGUAUUGAGUUGCUUUGAAUUUUUCGAUUGAUAAUAGCUCUCUUCUAAAGUGAUGUAAAGAGACAUCGUAAUUCCAGGAGCAACACAAAGAGCUGGGUCUGUUUCCAGCUGUCUGUUCCAUGGUUCAAUCAAUACGUGAUUCUUUUGCUGAACAUCGCCGCGGAAUUUGCAAAUUUAGAAGCUGGAGUGGAUCUUAGCAUAUUUUCUUGUAAGUAUACUCUUUAUUUUAUUUUUCAUGUGCUACUUCGGCAUGUUACUGUUCAGCAUGCUUUGCUGUGUUUUCACAUCCGUUACAUCUGUUUAUCGAAACAGCCCUCUACCUGAGAUAUAGGUAAGGUCUGCAUACAUUCUACCCUCUCCGGAUCUCACUUUAUGGGACACGGUGUAUGUUGUUGUUGUUGCUAUCAGCUUGCUACUUCUUGUACUUUGAGUUGCAUCAACUGAAGCUUGGUUGCCUGUUUUUUUUUUAACCAAUCGUUUUUAAGUUCUUGUGAUCAAAGCUUAUUCCAUAGUUGCACUAUUACGCGCAUUUCCUCUACGACAAGCUAAUCCCACAAGUUGGGUCGGGGAAGGAUAGGAUGUACGUAUACCUUACCUCUACCUCUGCAGGGUAAAGAGGCUGUUUCUACUGCCUCCAUAAACCCUUUUCCUGGUCGUGCUAGUAAGUGUCCAUCUGGUGUAAACUGGUCGUAGCAGAAGAUUGACCUCCAUAAAGUACUGAAUUCAUUCUAUCGAAGAAGUUUUAUGUAUGCCAGUACCGUUUGAAGGUUUAUGACGAAUCAUUUUCUACUUAUAAAUAACCUUCGUUGUAGCAAGUCUUUUCUAUUAGAAGUAAGCCGACAGCAAAAUGGUAAUUCAUUUGACUGAAUACAUGGUUUAUACAACAACAAAAACAUACAUAGUGAAAUCUCGUGAGUAGAAUCCGGCGGUGGUGGUGUGUGCGCAGCCUUACCCCCUACCUUGUGAGGGUAAAGAGUCUUUUCAAUAGAUCCUUCACUCCGGUAAAGCAUAUCGAACAGUAUGAAAAGAACACAGAGUAAUAAAAAAGCCAUAUAGAACAUAAUGUAGAAAUGAACAGUAACAACAACAAAUACUGCUAAUACCGAAGCAAGAAAACAUGUAGUAAUAAGAUCAAAAGAUAGGAUAGUGGGCGAGUAAUAAUAAUGCUACUGAUAAGGGAAACUAGACAAUGCUCGACUACCUACUAAUCGUCUACCCUAAUCCUCAACCUCCAUAUCCUGUCUAUAGACUAAUCGUCGACCUCCAUUUCCUGUCUAUCUAGGGUCACUAAGAUCAAAGAAUAGGAUAGUGAGAAAUUAAAUACUACUGACAAGGGAAACUAGACAAUGGUCGGCUACCUACUGAUCUUCUACCCUAAUCCUCGACCUCCAUAUCUUGUCUAUCUACGGUCAUGAAAUCUGGUUUAUAGUUCUUGGCAUUUAUCCGUCUCAUUUGAAAUCACUGUGUGCAUUGCAAAAAUUCAUUACUAUUUUUGCGGUUAAGAUCAGUAUUCAUCUUUCUGAGCUUGGAUCAAGACUCAUUGUUUUUUAUGUAGUAUAGAAAAGGCCUUAUGGAUACUGAACUCUUGUGUUGUUUUCAACUUUUCAGCGAUAGUACUCAGUUAUUCACCUCCAUCAUGGUCUUCCGCUCUCAUUUNNNNNNNNNNNNNNNNNNNGUUCUCUAACAAGGAGAAAACCAAGCAACUAUCCUGUCCGUCUUGUGAAAGUUUUAGUAAGGUGAACAUCGAUGCUCUAGGACUAUAUAUAUUCAUGCUUUAAGCUCGUUAUGGAGAUGUAACAAACCGAGAACAAGUUCCGGAUGAAUGGUUUUAAACGAAGCUCCUCGUCAUCAUGUCAUAUGUUGUAUACCUCAAUGCUGCAUUUUCCAGAUUCUAGCAAUUCAUUGACCUUGUUCUGUCUUACAAGAAACAAAUGUUGUCCUUUGCUCUCUGUUGCCGUGUCAUCGACAACAGAAGCAGCGAGUUGAUUCGAACAACAAUGUCCCUUUGUUUAUCGCCUUGGAAGUAUAUAUACGUCAACAUUUGCAACCAGGUUCGCGUGUUCAUGUAAGUUUUCAUUCUUGUGACGGUAGACGCUCUUUAACAUGUUUUAUUCCCAGAUGUACAGAAUUUUGGACAAUCAAAGUACACAUUUUGUGAUUUUAUUGCAUUAUUUCGCUGUUGUUAACGCUCUGUACUGCUUUCCUUAUUACUCGACAUGUUUUCUUCAUUGCCAUAUUUUCUUUUUCCCUAUCUACUUCAAUUUGCUGCACUUAAGCCAAGGUCUUUUGAAAACAACCUCUCGACCUCCACGAGAUAGGGGGUAAGGUCUGCGUGCAUUGAACCUUCCCUAGACCUCACUUGUGAAUUGCGCUAGGUAUGUUGUAAUAAUGUUUGGAAACAACCUCUCGACCUCCACGAGGUAGGGGGUAAGGUCUGCGUGCAUUCUACCUUCCUCAUACCUCACUUGUGGAAUUGCGCUUGGAUGUUGUAAUAACGUUUGAAAACGUUUCGACCUCCACGAUGUAGGGGGUACGGUCUGCGUGCAUUCUACCUUCCCUAGACCUCACUUGCGGAAUUGCACUUGGAUGUUGUAAUAACGUUUGAAAACAACCUCUCGACCUCCAUGAGGUAGGGGUUGAGGUUUGCGUGCAUUCUACCUUCCUCAGACCUCACUUGUGGAAUUGCGCGAUGUAUGUUGUAAUAACGUUUGGAAACAACCUCUCGACCUCCACGAGGUAGGGGGUGAGGUCUGCGUGCAUUGUACCUUCCCUAGACCUCACGUGUGGAAUUGCGCUAGGUAUGUUGUAAUAACGUUUGAAAACAACCUCUCGACCUCCAUGAGGUAGGGGGUAAGGUCUGUGUGCAUUCUACCUUCCUCAGACCUCACUUGUGGAUAAGGUCUGUGUGCAUUUUGCCUUCCUCAGACCUCACUUGUGGAAUUGCUCUUGGAUGUUGUAAUAACGUUUGAAAACAACCUCUCGACCUUCACGAGAUAGGAGAUAAGGUUUGCGUGCAUUCUACCUUCCUCAGACCUCACAUGUGGAAUUGUGCUUGGAUGUUGUAAUAACGUUUGAAAAACGUUUCGACCUCCAUGAGGUAGGAGGUACGGUCUGCGUGCAUUAUACCUUCCCUAGAUCUCACUUGUGGAAUUGCGCUAGGUGUGUUGUAAUAACGUGAAAUGUUACAAUUGAACACAAUAGUAAUAUUUUGAUAUACUCUACUCUUAGCAUCAAAUGGGGUUUUAACGGUCUAUCGAAACUCUGUUUCAAUUUGUUUAUCUGGUUUCGACCUGACAUAGAGUUUUAAGAAAGUAAAGAAGACUUUUGAAUUUUGUCGACUUAAACUAAAGAUACGUAGAACAUGCUAAAACUUCAUUUAAUCUUGUUAUCUUAAAUAUGAAAGUUAGAAUUAAAGAAUUUUAUAGAAAAAGAAAGAGAUAUUCUUUUCGAAACAAAUAAAAAAAUAAGACAAAUAAUUUGCAAGGUAAGGAUUUUUUUUUUGUUUUCCACCCGGUGUCCGGUAUCUACAUUGGAGCCUCGACUAAUUUGGAUCGCGCACUACAGGGUCCAUUCUAGGGGUGGCGAAGUAAGGCAAAUAAAUUGCAAGGUAAGGAUUAUUUUUUUUGGUUUUCCAUGCGGUGUUCGGUACCUACAUUGAAGCCUCGACUAAUUUGAAUCGCGUACUACGGGGCCUGCUCUGGGGUGACGAAGUAAGACAAAUAAAUUAUAAGGUAAGGAUUUUUUUUUGGGGUUUCUCACCCGGUGUUCGGUAUCUACAUUGGAGCCUCGACUAAUUCGGAUUGCGCACUACGUGACCCAUUCUAGGGGUGACAAAGUAAGACAAAUAAAUUGCAAGGUAAGGACUUUAUUUUUUUUUUUUCAUUCUGUGUUCGGUAUCCAUAUUGGAACCUCGACUAAUUCGGAUCGCGCACUACGAGGCCCAUUCUAGGGGUGGCGAAGUAAGACAAAUAAAUUGCAAGGUAAGAAUUUUUUCUUUUUUGGUUUUCCACCCGGUGUUCGGUACCUACAUUGGAGCUUCGACUAAUUCGAAUUACACGGGCCCAUUCUAGGGGUGACGAAGCAAGACAAAUAAAUUGCAAGGUAAGAAUUUUUUAUUUUUUGGUUUUUCAUCCGGUGUUUGGCAUCCACAUUGGAACCUCGACUAAUUCAGAUCGCGCACUACGAGGCCCAUUUUAGGGGUGACGAAGUAAGACAAAUAAAUUGCAAGGUAAGGACUUCUUUAUUUUUUUUUGGUUUUCCAUCCGGUGUUUGCCUACAUUGGAGCCUCGACUAAUUCGAAUCACACACUAAGGGGCCAUUCUAGGGGUGGCGAAGCAAGACAAAUAAAUUGCAAGGUAAGGAUUUUUUUUUUUUGAUUUCCACUCAGUGUUUGGUACUUAUAUUGGAGUCUCGAUUAAUUCGAAUCGCGUACUACGGGGCCCGUUCUGGAGGUGACGAUUUUCUCCAUAUCCAAAAAUCGAACUCGAAACCUUCGAUUAAGGAUAAAGUAGUUUCACCACUACACCACAACCCACGUUGGUCAGGUAAGGAUUAUUAUAAUGUAUAGUAUCUCCAACUUGUGGGAUGCCAAAGAUAUUUAAAUCAAAACUUUAUAAUAUGAUUAAGAUAAAGAUCAACAUGAAAAGUUAGGAAGAAAGAUAUUUUUGUUUAUUUUGUUGUUGAAAAUCAACAUUAUAUUACUUCAAGGAUAACCAUGCCAUAUCAUGGAGAUAAUUACAUCUAUGAUAAGUAGUUGGAUAAUUUUUAUUUGUUUUUUUUUUUUAUCUGCGUUCGAUAUACUAUACUUUGAAAUAUCGAUUAAUUCAGAUUCACCAUAAAAUUUACUAAAAAGAAAAUUGUUUUGAACUUAAUUUUUUUAUUUUUAGGACUUAAACUCAAGAUUUUUAGUAAGUAUAUAAUUUCCUAUAUGGAUAUAGAAUAUCCCUUUUAUAAACUAAGAUUUUUUUGUUAGAUAUUUUUUUAUUAAUAAAGAUACUAUAUAUUUAGUAGGAAUUGCUCAUCCCAUUUGCAAUAAAGUACUAGUACCACCAAAAGAUAAUAGAAUCUAUUAUAUGGAAAAACUUUUGGAAAAAUAACAUAAACAUACACCUUAUCAUAUUUACACAGAUUUUUAUCCUUAUAAAUUUUUUAACUAAUUUAUGUAUCUUCGUUGACUGUAUUAGAAAUUAAUUUAUGUAUCUCGAUAGACCCAAAAUUAAAAAAAAAAAAAGUAUUGGAAGCUAAUUACGUAUCUUUACAAAGAAAAAAAUGUAUUUUUGUUGUUGUCAUCUCUCACCAGCAACAGAUAGAUAUCAGAUAACUUUGUCUAUUGAGGCUAGAACAGAUGGAAAUAAAUCUUUUAUCAUUAUUUUUUUUUAUAAUCAUGGUGUCCGGACUAACUUGCGUGCACCUCGACUAAAUCAACGAGCUACUUGCCAUCUCUCACCAGCAACAAAUAUCAGAUAACUCUGUCCAUCGAAAUUAGAACAGAUGGAAACAAAUCUUUUAUCAUUUUUCCAACAAUAAUUCUAUCUUGGUUAAUUUUGUCCUUUAUGGAGACACCAAAAAGUAGUUGCUUUCUACACUAAAUAGCCCAAGUUGGAAUAAUAUAUCCAACCAACCAAAAACAUUUAUGUCCAUCCAAUCAUGGCUAUUUUUUUAAACCCUACCUUGUACUAUACAAUUACAUCAUCAUCAUAUAAUAUAAUUUAAACCAACUAAAUAAUUUGUUGAUAUAUACACAAUAUAUACAGCCUUCUUCUCUUCCUCCCCUUUCAACUACCCCCCAAAAAAAAAAAAAAACCUUUGCAAAACUUUGCAAAACUAACCUUUUUUCCUAUGGGGAGAAAGUGUUCACAUUGUGGCUAUAUUGGUCAUAAUUCAAGAACUUGUAGCACAUUAAAAUGUUCUAUUAGUGGUAGUAAUUUUAUUGGUGGAUUAAAACUUUUUGGAGUACAACUUGAUAUUGCUAAUUCUUCUUCUUCAUCAUCAUCAUCUUCUUCAUUUUCUAGCCAUAAUUUGAAGAAAAGUUUUAGUUUGGAUUGUUUGUCUUUAACAAAUAGCCAUAUCGGCCAUAGCCACUUAUCAUCAUCAUUAUCUCCUUCUCCAUCUAUUAAUGAAAGUUGUGAAAAGAGUACUACUUCUAUUAAUAAUAAUGGUUAUCUUUCUGAUGGUAUUGGUGUAGGGUGUGUUGGUGAAAGGAAGAAAGGUAUGUAAUUUAAUUUAUAUAUAUUUAGUGUGUAUAAUUCUAGUUUUGUUAAUAUAUGUAAUAAUGGGUUAUAUUUGCAAAUUUGGUUCAUUAUAUGGUCUAAACCAAAAUAUUUGGCUUUUUUAUUGUGUGGGGAGAAUCAUUAUUCUUCUUGAUUCAUGGUUCUUUUUAUUUGCAUGUUGUGAGAAUUCAUCAUAAAUUGACUAGCUUUACGUUGACUAUCACCCAAUCGUGACAACCCCCCCCCCCUCCGGGCUAAUCAUAAAUUAUAUUAGAUAUGAUCUAAUUAUUUGUUCUGAGCCGGGGGUUUAUUGGAAACAACCUCUCUACUUCUUCGGAGGUAGUGGGACUGCGUACAUUUUACCCUUCCGGACCCCACUAUGUGACAAUACACUGGGUAUGUUGUUGUUGUUGUUGUUAUAUCUAACUAUUUAGCGAUGAAGUUUAUAGCUAAUGAAAUGUGAUUAUUGAUAUAUAUGAAUGUCAUGUGACCUAUACGUCAUGGGUUCGAGCCAUGAAAACAGCCACUAAUACUUGCAGUAAGAUAGACUGUCUAUAUUACACCUCUCCCCUGAAGAAAUCUCUGCCAAGUAAAAUGUAUUUUUUAUAAACAGCCAAUAAUAAUAUGUAUUUUUUAUUAUUGAAUCAACAGGAGCACCAUGGACAGAAGAUGAACAUAGAAAAUUCUUAAUUGGACUUGAAAAGUUAGGUAAAGGUGAUUGGAGAGGAAUAUCAAGAAAUUUUGUGACAACAAGGACACCAACACAAGUUGCAAGUCAUGCACAAAAAUAUUUUCUAAGACAAUCAAGUAUCAACAAAAAGAAAAGACGUUCAAGCCUUUUUGAUAUGGUAAAUAUACAUUUCUUUUGGAUUUUGAUACAACUAAAAUUAGACAGGGAAACGAGUCGGAAAUAUACCUAAACUUUGGCGAAAUUUGAUGUAACACACCUUCCGUGGCAUAUAUUUGUCCAGCUGGACCACUUUAGACCCUCAUGUGCUUAGUGUACGUGUAUUCACGCAGUAGUCUAGCUAGGCAAAUAUAAUAUGCCACAGAAAUAUGAAAACAAAUAGUCGAGGCGUGUUAUAACAAAUAGUCCUGUGACCCCCCUCGACUGUUUAUUACGGUAUUUCUGUGGCAUAUAUUUGUCCAGCUGGACCACUUUAGACCCAUACGUGCUUAGUGUACGUGUAUUCACGCAGUGGUCCAGCUGGACAAAUAUAAUAUGCCAUUGAAAUAUGAAAACAAAUAGUCGAGGCGUGUUAUGACAAAUAGUUUCGUGACCCCGCUCGACAGUUUAUUACGGCAUUUCUGUGGCAUAUAUUUGUCCAGCUGGACCACUUCAGACCCACACGCGCUUAGUGUACGCGUAUUCACUCAGUGGUCCAGCUAGGCAAAUAUAAUAUGCCACAAAAAUACGAUAACAAAUAGUCGAGGCGUGUUAUAACAAAUAGUCCUGUGACCCCCUCGACAGUUUAUUAAGGUAUUUCUGUGGCAUAUAUUUGUCCAGCUGGACCACUUCAAACCCACACAAGCUUAGUGUACGCGUAUUCACGCAGUGGUCCAGCUGAACAAAUAUAUGCCACAGAAAUACGAUAACAAAUAGUCGAGGCGCGUUACAGCAAAUUUCAUCAAAGUUUAGAUAUAUUUCAAACUUUUUCCCCAAUUAGAUAUGAAUUUCAUCACUAGUCUAUUGAGGUAGUUGUUGGUAGUAGCUAAUAGAUUUUUUUUUAUAAUCUGUUGUUAGAUAAGAUUAAAAAUAGAUUUUACCGUCUCGCUGUAAAAAUUGUCUGUAGUUAAUUCCUGUUUUGGAGAAUCUAAUUUUGUUCCCCACAUAGUUGAUAGUUUUACCUAUUAUAUCAAGUUAGUUACUAAUAUCACAAUGCUCUUCAUAGAGAUUUACUUAUAAUACUUUAUCGUAUAAAUAUUUUUUACAUGAUCAAUACAUACAAUUAAUUACUAACUUUUUAUAUUUUUAAACAUGUGCUAGGCAAGGAUCAACAACAAAUUUGAAGAUUGUCAAGAAAAUUCACAUUGGAUUUAUGGAUCACAAAAUUCUCAUCAAAAUGAAGUGCCAAAUAAUAAGUCCAUUUCUUCAAAUGGAAAUAUUGAUUUAGAGCUAAGUCUUUCAAAUAAUAUUGUGGAUAAAAAUAUUGGAUCAAUUAUAGUUACCUAACUUGUACUAAUUUGAUUACCUUGUUUAAUGAAAAGUAACUUUACUAAGUAGUGUUUUUAAUUCAUUAAUUACCACAAUAUAAUGUAUUUGUUGAUCUGAUUCUUCAGAACUGUUGGUCGUAUCUCAUGUUGAAUCGUCCAAAAAUAUAUUAUUUAUUUUUGGUGAAUCAAACAUGCAUUCGAUGUCAUAUUUAAAGAAUCUGAACAACAUUUAUGAAGAUUUUUUUUUCCUAAUAAUUCUUGUGCUAUAUAUACUUCUCAUAUGUUUUCAUGCUAUACUAGAUUCAUGGGUGUAUAUAAGGGAAUUUAAAAUUACUAUAUACUAAAUCUUUUUAAUAUAUAAUUAUGUAGAAGGGUUUUAACAUAUAUAAAUAGUAUAAUUUUUCCGCGAACAGAAUUUAAUUGGACCUCUUCGCUAUACAUAGCUCCGGCGUGAGAGGUGGUGGGAUGAUGAAAAUUCUAAUUCUACUCUUAGGUAGAAGUUUCGAUUCGAGUUCUGAAAAUAAAUAUUUUUUUUUUAAUAAUCAUGUAUUCUGCGCAAUUUAUGUACACCUCGCCUAAUUACAUAUGUGGACAACAACAACAACAACAUACCUAGUAUAUUCCCACCAAGUGGAAUCUGGGGAGGGUAAGUGUACGCAGUCCAUACCACUACCUCAGAUGUGAGAUAGAGAGGUUGUUUCCGAUAGACCCCCCAUAUGUGGAGUUUUUAUUAUUUCUCACGGUCGGAUUCAGAUAAUUCUACAACAACAAUAAUACUAUCCUAUGUAAUCCCACAAAUAAGGUCUGGAAGGACAGAGUGUACGCAGACGUUACUAUACCUGUUAGAGAGACUUUUUCCUAUAAAUCCUCGACUAUAUAUAAUCGGAUAAUUCUAUUCACCAAAAUUUGAAGAGGUGAUAAAAGAGAAACUAUAUUCUUAAAACAAAGCAUCUAGUACCCCCUCGAACUAUGACCAAAGUUCCUACGACAUACUUCAACUUCACGGAGGUCCUAUUACCACCUCCCCCACCCCCACCCCGAACUUAAUUUUAACAUAUUUUUGAUACUCUUUUGUGCUGACGUGACACAUUUAUCACAUAAAAAUGGAGCCCACAUUAAAGGUGUCGCGUUAGCUAAAAAGAUGUCACGUCAACUAAAAAGAAUGACAAAAAUAUGCUAAAAUUGAAUUUAUAGAGGUAAUAAAACCCUCAUAAAAUUGAAGUAUAUCGUAGCAAAUUUAAUCAUAGUUCAGGGUACUAAAUUGCUUUACUCUAUUCUUAAAACGUGUAAAAAUUGGAAACAAACAAUAAUUGUACAUUCAUAUAUAUAUAAACCUAAAAUAAUUUGACAUUACUUACAAUGGUCAAUCGACCACUACAAAAAGUUUCCAAAAUUUUGAAUUAUAAUUUUAAUUAGUUAUAGAUGAAAUAAACAUGUGAACCAUAUUCAAAGGCUUGUCGGUUGUUCAACCUAGCUAGCUUAUAAUACGGAUGAUAAAAUUAGCUCGUGAAAAUAUAAUUCGAAAAAUCUAUUUGAAUUUGAGUUAUUCAUUAACCUAUACAUUUGUUAGCCAAAAUCAUUUUCAACCCAACCUAUUAUAAUCCAUAAAAAAUUAGAUCGAUAUAUGGAUAAACAAUACAGAUUUUAAUAGUUUGGAGCUUAGUUAUAGAAAAUUUUGAUAUUUUAUAUAAUUACUGAAAAUCUCGAUUUUGAUCUGUAGAGAUACAUAAUUAGUUCCCGAUACAUCUAAUGAAGAUACAUUUUUUUUCUUUGUAAAGAUAUAUAAUUAGCUUCUGAUACAUUUGUUCGAUUUUGAAUUUAUCGAGAUACAUAGUACAUCUAACGUAGAUACAUUUUUCCUUUGUAAAGAUACAUAAUUAGCUCUCAAUACAUUUUUUUAAAAUGUUUUGGAUUGAUAGAGAUACAUAAUUAGCUCCCGAUACAUCCAACGUAGAUACAUUUUUUCCUUUGUAAAGAUACAUAAUUAGCUCUCAAUACAUUUUUUUUAAAAAAAAUUGGAUCGAUCGAGAUACAUAAUUAGCUCCCAAUACAUCCAACGAAGAUACAUUUUUUCUUUUUAAAGAUACAUAAUUAGCUCUAAAUACAUUUUUUUCAAUUUUGGAUCUGUCGAGAUACAUAAUUAGCUCCCGAUACAUUCAAUGAAGAUACAUAAUUAAUUGAAAUUUUUGUAAUUACUUUGUAGGGGCAGAAAUUUGUGUAACAUGAUAAGUUAAGGAGUAUGUUUACGUUAUUUUUUCCCUAAAUUAGCCCCACCGAAAAUCUUGUCACGGUAUACGUGUAUAUGUUUAAGCAUACAAUGACAAUUAUGACAACAACAUAUUUUAUGAAGGUAGAGAGAUUGUUAUAGGACUGUAUACCCGUACGUAUAUUAAUUAAAACUCAUUAAAUUCUAUUAACUUCUAAGGUGUGUUCGAUAUGAAUGUUUUGUAUUUUAAUUUUCUCAUGUUCGAUUGAUCAAUUAUUUUUUUAAAAGAAAUAAUCAAUCAUUAUUAAACAUCCUUAAUACACAAAUAACAUGUGUAAUAUUUAUAUUUUUGGCAUUUUUCUUGGUGGGGGACUAGGUUGGGGUAGGGUAUCUUUUAGAAUUUGCAAUAAAAUCUUUGGGUAAACUUAAAUAUGUACCUGUUAUUUGUCAGCUGGUCCUACAUGUACUUUUUAGUGAUAGUGACUUUAGAAUAAUUUACAAGAAUUGUUGUGUCAAAUAUUAAUUUAUGUGAUAUCGUUUGGUUGAAUAUAUUUUUUUUACAACAACAACAAUUAUAAACUCAGUAUAUUCUCAUAGCGUGAGGUCUGGGGAGGGUAAGAUGUAUGCAGUCCAUACCGCUACCUCCGAAUAAGUAGAAAAGUUGUUUCCGAUAGACCCUCGGCUCAAGAUAAAGAAUAAUAAACACGGGAAUGGAUGACAUAACCGAGAUAAAAAAUAGGAAAUAAUAAAAUAAAAUCACAGGAAUAUUAAAUGCGAAAAAUAAGAGCAACACGGAAUAAGAAAAAUAGGAAUAUUGAAUAUAGUUUUUUUAAAAAAAUAAAUCAUAAUAUUUUACAGUUUAAUGUGCAUAUACCUUUGUCUCUCACUAAUAUAGGUAUCGAAUGACUCUGUAAGCCAAGACUUGAACAAAUAGAAAAAAAUUAUCUUUAUUUUUUUGCUUUCGUUAGGAUUGGAAAGUAAUAGUAACUCAUAGUUCAAGACGUUUGAAACUUGCAAUCUAAAAUCAGACUUAAGUAUAUAAUAAAAUUAUUUGGUACGGGUUUAAUGUGCUACUUUUCGAAUAUUAUAUGCUAUUUUUGUCUCAAUUUAUAUGUUGCUAAUGAAAUAUUUGAGAAAGUCAAUCAGAUUUGCUAUAUAUAAUUUUAGAUAUUUUAAGUUGUUAAUUAUAUUAUAAUUUAUACGACUUUCAACGUAAUUUUCAAGUAAUAUUCUUUUAUCCUAAUUAAUAUGACAUCGAUAACUAUUGUAAUCUAUAAUACUUUUUCGACGUUGUAAUUUACUAUUUUAAACUGUUUGUUAUUGUAAUUUAUAAUAUCUUUCUUGUUCAAACUUUUGUGAUAUUGAUAGUGAAUUUAAACUUUAAAAUUAAAUUUACUAAUUUUUAAUUAUUGUAAUUUAUAAUAUUUUUUUAUUUCAAUUUAAGCAACACUGAUAUAAUUUCAACAGUAACCAAAUAACACGAUUGAAAUAGCGAAACGGGCAUGCCUUGAAUGACUCAAAAUAACUAAUUAAAAGUGAUAUAAGAAAAUUGCUAUACAAAUACUUGUGAAAUUUUUUUAAGUGAGUCUCGCAUAAGAUGUCAAAUUAAUUUAAAACAUCAAGAUUAUCAAUUUUUAAAUACUUAAAUGACUCAUAAUAAUUAAUUAUAGGUGAUAUAGUAAAAUUACAGUUGAAGCAGCUGAAACAGUUAUGUCAUAAAUAUCUAUUUUACUUUAUAAAUAUUUAUUGUAUUUUUUAUUAAAUAUUAUUAAUUUUUUAAUAACUAAAUGCCAUAUAAUAAUUAAUUAGGGGUAAUAUAGAAAAAUCACGAAGCAAGCAGGCAUGUCGGACGUCAGUUGCCUACUUCCAACCGCCCACUCACUAUAUAUAGUAUAAGAAUAUAUAUACUCCAAAUCAACAACAACAAUAAUAACAUAUUCGACGUGAUUUCACGAGUAAAUCAGAGAGUAUAGAGUUAACGCAGAUCUUAGCCCUAUUCUGUGUGAGGCAAAAUGUUGUUUUUGAUAGAUCCAAAACUUGUACUUCAAAUUAAAUCAAACAAAUUGAAUUAGAGGGAGUAUCUAAUUUUUUUUUAAUUUUUUUUUUUUAAUUUUGGUCAAUGAGUUUUCAAAUAUCCAAUAAUAUAUCUAGUAAGUUCAUUUUCAAACUUGGAAUUUCCUCUUGUUGUAGAAUUUAUUAUUAGUAAUAUAUUCAUUGAGACAAUUAUAAGCCAUGCUUUUUGUCCUUUAUUAUUUUGGACUACUAAUAGAGCAGGACCAUGGAGGAAACUAGAAACUCUCCAUAGGGCCCACAUACCUCACCCCCCAUCCCACCUCACCUCACCCCACCCACACCUACCUUAUAAUUAAGACAUAGGGUGAGGAGGACCAUAGAGGAGACUAGAAACUCUCCAUAGGGCCCACAUACCCCACCCCCACCCCACGCCAAACCCCCUACCCACCCUAUGGUCUAUAAGACCUAUGGAAUGUGUGAGCAAUAAAAUCACACAUACUCAAAAGUUUCAUUUCCUUCCUUAGAAAUUUUAUACGACAGUGGAGCCAGGAUUUUCAUUGAGAAGGUUCAAAAGUAUAUAUACAAACUAGUCGAAGGGGUUCAACAUCUACUAUAUAUGCAUAAAAAAUAUUUUUAAUCAUGAAAAAAUAGUAUAAAAACAAUAUAAUUUUUCGUCGAAAGGGAUUCAGCCAUGGAUUUUAUACAUGUAGACUUUUUUAUAACGAUGGUGUUCAGGUCAGUUUCACGAACUUUGACAAUUGAGGUAAUCACUAAGCUACAUCGUUGAAUGUAGAAGUUAUUUCUUGAACAUCAUUCUUGAGGUCUAGAGAGUCUCUUAUAUAGACGUAUUUCAGACUUCAGUCAGUUUACGCGCACUACAAUUAAUUUACUUUAACAUAUUACCUCCCACUAGUACCGAUAUCAGAUAACUUUGCCUAAGCAUAGGUACAGAUAAAUUUGCUUAUUAAAGCUUAGACAGAUAGAGUAAAAUUAACCCAACGUCUUUUGCCUCUACCGAAAUUUAAACCCUAAUUUUCAGUGAUUUUCACUCAAUUAAUUGAUAAUUAUGUAUAAAGGCCAGUCCGGUGGGCUAGAGCUCUCCCUACGUGUUGAUUCUGAAGAAUGGCCGAACUACAAGGGUCUAUUGUGCAUAAUCUUAUCCUACAUUUCUGUAAGAAGCUGUUUUCACGGCUAGAUCAUGUCACAUGACAACAACUUUACAAGCUACGCCAAGAAUGGCCGGACUACACGGGUCUAUUGUACACAACUUUAUCCUGCAUUUCUGCAAGAGGCUAUUUCCGCGGCUUGAUCAUGUCACAUGACAGCAACUUUACAAGCUACGCCAAUAAUGGCCGGACUACAAGGAUCUAUUGUUCACAAUCUUAUCCUGCAUUUACGCAACAAGCUGUUUCCGCGGCUUGAUCGUGUCACAUGACAAUAACUUUACAAGCUACGCCAAGAACGGCAGGACUACAAGGGUCUAUUGUACACAACUGUAUCCUGCAUUUCCGCAUGAAGCUAUUUUCACAGCUUGAGCAUGUCGGUGACAACUUUACAAGUUAUGCCACGAAUGGCUGGACUACAAGGGUCUAUUGUACACAAUCUUAUCCUGCAUUUCUACAAGAGAUUGUUUCCACAACUUGAUCAUGUCACAUGACAACAACUUUACAAGCUACACCAAGAAUGACUGGACUAUAAGGGUUUAUUGUACACAACCUUGUCCUGCAUUUCUGCAAUAAACUGUUUCCACGGCUCGAUCAUGUCACAUGACAACAACUUUGCAAACUACACAAGAAUGGCUGGACAACAAGAGUCUAUCGUACACAACCGUAUCCUGGAUUACAGAGGUUGUUUCCGCAGCUUGAUCGUGUCACAUGACAGUAACUUUACCAGCUACGCCAAGGCUUCCUUUCAAUGACAAUUACAUAUGUCCAAAAAGCAUCAAAUACACAUACUACACACAGCAUGAGAACACUUUCUGGCCCACUAUUGCAAAGUCCAAACAGUGGUUGAAGGACCACAGCUUUUAGCUUAGACAGGUCAAUUCAUCACUUGAGAAACAACUGUUAGCUGUGUAAGUUGUAUUCAGCAUUAUUGGGUGGUGUCUUAUACAUGAAAAAAAUAUGGAUGACUAGUUUUGGAUAGUACUAUGGACAACAUUACAAAUUGUAUCAAAAUGAGAAAAUGAGAAAAUGAAAAAGCCAAACUAGACCACGUCUCAACAUUUGAUACCAUGUACUAUCUCUUCGUUCCGUUUAUCUGCUUUGAUAUGUUUUUCCUUGAGCUGAGAGUGUAUCGAAAACAGGGGGAUAAGAUAUGCGUACACUUUACCCUUACACGGGGCUUCUUGUUGUUGUGGUAUUGAGUUCUAAGGCAUAAAAGAAGACACUUGUCACGACUAAAGUACAUGGUACUUAUGAUUCGCUUUGGCUCAACAAAUCUCAUGAAUUUGUCCCUCGACCUAUGCCAUCAUUGGUUCCAAAAUGUAUGUACAAUGUGAAUUUAUGCGAUGAAUAAUAAAGCUCAUAACUUUCCUCUCAUUCUGAUAUGGGAUUGACCUAAGAUGUUAUGUGCGUCCCUUUUUCAAAAACCUUUCAGACCAUCUCUUUAACCACUCUCGUUGGCCCACCCUCUUUCAUGCGUACACUCUGCAUUGUCAUGUUGUUCGUCAUACUAAUAGUUGUAGUAUUACUCUUGUGAUUUUGUCAUUCGAUUUAUGUUAAUGUACUAUCUAUUGUUUCUUGUAUUCUCCGUUCCUUCUUUUUUUGUAUUGCUUUAGACUGUUUUUCGGUGUCGAGGGUCUGUUGGAAAGAGUCUCUACCUCUGAAAUAGGAAUAAAGUUUGUCUACGUUCUACCCUCCCAAUCACUGGGUAUGUUGUUGUAACACUUGAUGAUGCCGCGGCAAAGAAAACCCAGCCCAAUUAAACAUGACUUCACCAGGCCCAACAAAUUUACUAAAUGGGCCCAAAUUUCAAAAUGGCCCAACUCCCAACCAAGCUCCUUUAAGUUGAGCCUGUCCCGACUGUUCCGCGAACCCAUGGGCUUAAGCCAGGGCCAGGUUUAACCCCACCCCACUUGACAUGUCUAGUUUGAUGCACCCUCGUGUUGCUUACCUCUAUCUUUGCAGGAGGGUAGGAUGUACGCCAAGCUUACCUCUAUCAUCGCGGGAUAUUUUAUGCAUAACAAAAAUAUAAAACCAGAAAUCAAAAAUAUAACUGAUGGAACAAGAGAGGAUAGGUCAAUAUAAAUGAAAACAUAUAGUAUUAUAAUCUUUACAUGAGAGGAUAGUCAAAUACAAAUGCACAACAAUUGUAUAAAAAUGGGUACCUUGCUUUUAUUCCACAGUUCUGGAGUAAGCAGAUAAUGGUCCUGCCCUUCUACUCGUCUCCACUUAAAUAGACUUGUUUCCCUGGUAAGAGUCGAAGUCGCGUGCACCUGCCACACAUCCCUUGUUGUACUGCCUUUACCGACCGAUGAACCAAAGCCUAAGGUUGGAUAUGUAAUAACUAUCUGACUGACUGCAGUUUCUCAGAGAUCGAACUUCCCCAUAGGAGGAACGUCGCCUCUCAUUACUCUCCAAGGGCCGCCAUAAAACAGUGGUUUCAUUAGAGGCACUUCUUGCCCAGGGUGUUCUUCCCAGUAUUUUUCCUGUCAUUAUGGAGAAAAAACACUUAUAUCACGACAUGCAUUUGGAACUGACAGUAAACUAAAGGCUUAAAAUAAACAUAAUCUGGUUGGUAAUGCAAAGGCGGAAGUCUGAACUAAUAUAUAACGUGCCAAGAACUAGAUCAGAGAGUGUAGCAAAAACCAUAGGCAAUUUGAGUAGAUAAAAUAAAUUCGUAUAAUCCUCCUUCCAAUUCAUUGGAUACAUACGUCGAGCAAUUACGUAGCUAACUUGAUUUUUACAUUGUAUUUGUAGCUUUAGAAGAACCCAUUGAAUUAAUUAAUAAUCUAGUUUAUGAUUAGAAACUGUUAAAUAAUACAUUUUGGAGUAAUUAAGUAGUAAUCAAAUAGAAUUUUUUUGUGGAUAUUUCUAUGCAAGCAACAACAACUACUUACCCGGUGUAUUCCCACAAAGUGGGUUCUUGGGGGUAAAGUGUACGCAGUCCAUAGUACCACUACCUCAUAAGAAUUAGAGAGGUUAUUUCUGAUAGGACCCACCCGCUCAGGACAGAUAACAGUAUAACAAACAAAAAAGAUCAAAAUAAACAACAAAAUGGGAUAACACACUACUAGAUAAUAAAAGAAACAAGACACCGACAGAGUCAUACUACAAACUAUCUACUCGAGAUCACAAACAUCCUCAGAACACAAUGAAAAAGGGCAGCCCGGUGCACUAAAAGCUCCCGCUAUGCACAGGGGCCGGGGAAGAGCCCCACCACAAGGGUGUAUUGUACGCAACCUUGCCUUACAUUUCUGCCAAAGGCUGUUUUCAAGGCUUGAACCCGUGACCUCCUGGUCCCAUGGCAACAAUUUUACCGAUUACUCCAAGGCUCCUUCCAAAUCAGAAGGAAAGAAAUCAGAAGAUUCUGAAGGCUAGCAAAUACUUAAAUGAAGCUGGUUAUUUGAUGUGAAAGGUACAAAGCACCUGAGGAUUAGGGGAGAUUUCUCCAAAAGUUGAAUAGACGAAGUUAAUAUGCAACAACCUAGGAUUUCCUGGACGGAUCUUUAUCAUCGGAUUGGCUGCACAUGGAAAGCUCGACACUAGAGAUAAGAUGUUUAAAUGGGGAGUGACUAUAAAUGAAGUACGUCCGUUAUGUGAUCAAGACAAUGAAUGUCACUCACAUUUGCGCUUUGCUUGGAUCAUAUCUGCCCACACUUGGCAAAAGUUUCUCAAAUGGCAAGGUACCAACAGGAACACAAGAAACUGGGAAGAUGAACUACAAUGGUCCAUUAGCUACGCAAAGGAAAGAAGUACAAAAGCUGAAGUAGACAGACUCUCGCAGCUGCAGUAUAGCAUAUUUGGAGAGUGAGGAAUUUAAGAGUAUUCCAACGCAAACAGCAAUCUGCUGAUAAUUCAAUAAGUUCACUUUUAGGAGUUUGACCGUGCAGUUGGCCAGAUGGUUGAAAGAUUCAAUUCUAUCCUGCUUAAAUGCAGAAAUUGGCUAUAGGAUGUCGUGUUGGUCGUAUGUUUCUUUUCCAACAUGCAAGCCCCUUGGAGACAUACAUAUUAUCCACUUCGGUUAUUAAAUUUUACUAAUUGCCCAAGAAAAGGAAAAACUAAUCAAAUAAUUGCAACUUCUGAAUGGUGUGUGGAGCUCUCAUUCUUUGAAGCAACACUUCGCAUGUAACUUUUCUAAGGAUAAUUUUACGAUAAAAAAGGUAUACCAUGUAUAAAAAUAAGAGGAUGCAAGGUGCAUUUCCAAUAUAGCCUGUACUUGAACUAUCUAGAAUUGGGAAUUCAUAAUCCUGCCUAUACCCGUCCAACCAAGAAACCAUCAGUGCUUUCAACCUUCAAAACUAACUUCACAAAGCAGCUAUCCCAAAUAUGUCGAAAGAAAAAACAAGCAGUAAGUGCUUAAAAAGGGAUGUAAAGCCACUAUACCUUGUAGAGUUGUUCAGUGAUGGCUGCUCCAAUAACCCCAGUAUAAAAUGCACAGAUAUAGAUUGUAACAAUAGGAGUAAACGUUUUUGGUCUCCUAAAUGGUUCUACCAUAUCCCAGAGGAGCGUCUUUUCCCAUUUUGUGUAUACAUAAUCUGCAUAUUUCCUCCACAAAUACGUUGCCAUCUCCACGAGGUCCUUCAAUUAUCAGCUGCACAGAGGAAAGAUUUGGUUAAUUCGAAGACGUAGCUACCAAUAUGCAGAAAACAAAAACAAGAUUUAUUAAGGGAUAGCUUUUAACAGUAGAACUGCUCAAUCAUAGAUGGUUGAACAACUACAACAUAAACUGUUUAAUUCCACAAGUGAGGUCUGGGGAGGGUGGUCUGUACACAUCCUUAGCCUUACCCUAAGAACGUGGGGAGGUUGUUUCUCAUAGACACAAAUGGGUUUUGGGGAGGGUGGUGUAUACGCAGCCUUACCCCUACCUUGAGAAAGUACAGAGGUUGUUUCCGAUAGCCCCUCGGCUCAAGUAAAACAUAUCAUGUUAUAUGGUUGAUAUUACCAUAAUUGUGGCAUAAAACCAAACUUACAAAUCAUGACUAGAAAAACACAACAUAAUAUUAUGAAUAUUAGUUGGAGGAACACUUGCAAGAGAACAGUAAAGUAAUAAUUAGGUAAAAUAAGGAGUUCUAUCGAGAACGACAUAAUAAAAUAUAUCACUUGCUGUUCAGAGAUCUCCAACUUUCCGCAGCGACGAUAAGGCGUCCAUCUUUUAUCUAUACUAGCGGUUGUUAUAAACCCUUAAGGUGUAUAAUGUCAAAUGAUCUAUGGACUUAUAAAGAAUCAUAUUUAAGGAUUUUCAUCAUAUCAACAAAAGUAAUGUCAUGAGAUAAGUCCAUAAUACAAAUCUGAUCCAAACACCACAUAGUUAUACAUCUUUUUUUACAAUUGAGAAAUCCUUGAGCUCUAGUGGGGCAACAUACGAAAUUCUCGGCAUAUAAUGAGCCCGCUCCUCUAUCCUCCUCCACAUAAAUAUCAGGCUUUUGUCUACAACAUGAUUCCAAACCCAUGACGUACGUCUAACCAUGCAUCACGCUAUAUGCUCUUACCGCUAGACCAAAGCCCUCAGAGCAACACAUAGGGUAUGUUCAACAUGGAGGAAACAUUACCCAGAAAAUAGUUUCCAAUUUUCUCAUGUUCGGUUUGUUACAAUUUUCAAAAAUUGUUGUUUCUAGAAAAAAUAAAAAGUUGCUCAAAAAUGAGAAAAAUGACUUCUCUAGCGAAAAUAGGGAAAACAAGUUCUACAAGUGGCAAUUCCACAUUGAUUGUGCUCUCCCCCACCCACCUCCCACACCCCCUACACCGAUCCCUACCUCUCAUAGUAUCUAUCUAGAUUAUAUAUAAAUGUUUUUCAGAUAAUAUUUUUUGCUUACGUACCUAACACAAACAAUUAAGUAAGAAACCUACUUAUCCACGAAAAAAAAACCCAUAGUUAUACAAUUAUGAAAACAACAACAACAAAUCCAGUAUAUAUUCCCACCUAGUGGGGUCUGGGGAGGGUAAAAUGUAUGCAGUCCAUACCACUACCUCCGGGGAAGUAGAGAGUUGUUUCCGAUAGACCCCCGGCUCAAGACAAAAGGACAAAGGACAAAAAUGUCAAAAGCGUGCAACAGGAAUAAACUAACACAACAAUAAAGUACACAAACAGACAAUGGACCCCCCUCCCCCACCCCUAGACCUACCAACCAAGCUACACCAAACCCUCCUAACUACAAACUACGACUCGACCACCCACCUUCGCCCUCUACCCUAAUGUUUUUCCUCCAUACUUUCCUAUGAAGGUCAUGUCCUCAGAAAGUUGUAACUGCUCCAUGUCACAUCUAAUUACUUCUCUCCAGUACUUCUUCGGUCUACCCCUCCCCCGCUUGAAACCAUUAAAGGCCAACCUCUCACACCUACGAACAGGGGCAUCCGUGCCCCUUCUCAUCACAUGACUAAACCAUCUCAACCUCACUUCCCGCAUCUUAUCUUCUACCGAUGCCACUCCCACCUUCUCCCGAAUAAUCUCAUUCCUAACUCUGUGAUCCCUCGUGAAUCCACACAUCCAACACAAUAUCCUCAUUUCCGCCACCUUCAACUUUUGGACGUGAGAGUUCUUAACAGACCAACACUCCGCCCCAUACAACAUAGCCGCCCCAUUAUGAAAACAUAAUUGUUUUUUAUAAUCGCGUUAACCAGGCCAACUCACACACACCUCAACUAAUUCCUUAUAAUAUCCAUCACCUCCCACUAGCAACAGGUACCAGAUAACUCCGUCCAGCAAGUAGAAAAAUAUAAUUUAAAAAUUGGUUCUUUUAGCAUUCAUAGUUAGCUAUAUUACAGAAUAAUUACACUAAUAUAUUAUCAAUAAUUAAAAUCUAAAAAAGAAAUAAAUUAGAAAAGCAGUAAUAAAAUGGAAACAAAAGAAUCAGUUCCAUAAAUGAGAAUACCUUGGGGGAGAAACGGGUCGGUUCGGGUUGAAUUUCAGGUCCUCAAGAGGAUCCGAAAAAGAUAUUUUGUUUACGCUAGAUUGUAGAAAAUGAGAAUUUAGGGAUUUGGGUGUAGAAAUUAUGGAUGUCGAGGAUGAAACCGGGUCAAAUUUGGGUUCAAUUUUGGGCCCCCUAGAAUGAAAUUGGGCUUGAUCUAAGUCCAUUCGAAUGGCCCAAUUUUUUUUCUUCUUUUGGGACUUUGUAACAAUUGGAAAAAUAACAUAAACAUAUACCUUAACUUAUCAUAUUUACACAAAUUUCCACCCUUACAGAGUAAUUACAAAAAUCUCAAGGGAGCUAAUUAUGUAUCUCGAUAGACUCAAAAUCAAAAUUUUCAGUAAUUAUGUAAAAUGUCGAAAUUUUUUGUAAUCAAGCUCCAAACUGUCGAAAUUUAUGUUGAUUCUUUUUUUUCUUCUGCAUUUUCGUUCGGCAUCUGGUACCUGUUGAGUCCAACUAACCUGGAUCGUUAUAACCCAACAACAACAAACCCAGUGUAUUCCCACACAAUGGGGUUUGGGGAGGGUAAGAUGUACGCAACCCAUAUCACUACCUCCGGAGAAGUAGCAAGGCUAUUUUCGAUAGACCCCCGGCUCAAGACAAAGAAUAAUAAACGAAUUCAUAAUAAAAGCAUGAAACAAGAUGGCACAACAGAGAUAAGACACCCACACAUUAAUACCCUACACUAACGUACUAAACGCACCCCCCACAUGCACUAGUCUUCUAUCCUAAUUCACGUCCUCCACACCUUCUUAUCUAGGGUCAUGUCCUCGGUAAGCUGUAACUGCUCAAUGUCACAUCUAAUCACCUCUCUCUAAUAUUUCUUCGACCUAACCCUACCCCGUCUGAAACCAUCCAAAGCCAGCCUCUCACACCUACGAACUAGGGCAUCCGUGCCCCUCCUUAUCACAUGUCCAAACUAUCUUAAUCGAACUUUCCGCAUCUUAUCCUCCACCGACCUUCUCGCGAACAGUCUCAUUCCCAACCCUAUCACCCCUAGUAAGCCCACACAUCCAACGCAACAUUUGUAUUUUCGCCAUCUUCAAUAUUUGAACAUGAGAGUUCUUGACUGGCCAACACUUCGCUCCGUAUAACAUGGCCAACCGAACUACCACUCUUCAGAACUUGCCUUUUAGUUUGGGCGGCACCUUCUUAUCACGCAACACUCCCGAGGCGAACCUCCACUUCAUCCAACCUGACCCAAUCCGAUGGGAGAUAUUCUCAUCAAUCUCACCAUUUUCCUGAAUCAUCGACCCGAGAUACUUAAAACUAUCCCUCCUAUAAACAACCUAGUACCCAAACCUCACUACCCCAUCGUCCUCCUGCCUCAAGUCAUUAAACUUGCGUUCCAUAUACUCAGUCUCGCUCUUACUCAACCUGAACCCUUUAGACUCAAGGGUUUGUCUCCAAACUUCUAAUUUAUCAUUCACACCUCCCCGCGUCUCAUCAAUCAAAACAACAUCAUCUGCAAAAAGCAUACACCAAGGCACCUCACCUUGAAUAUGCGGCGUCAACACAUCCAUCACAACCGCAAACAAAAACGGGCUAAGAGUCGAUCCCUGAUGCAACCCUGUUAAAACUAGGAAAUGCUCUGAAUCUCCUCCCGCCGUCCUCACUUGAGUUUUUGCUCCCUCAUACAUGUCAUUAAUCGAUCUGAUGUACGUCACCAGGACCCCACUCACCUCCAAGCACCUCUCGAGCGUCCGGGCAUAAAUUCAAACUGAUUCUCCGAAAUAGAGAUUAUCCUCCUCAAUCUCCGCUCGACCACUCUCUCCCAAAUCUUCAUCGUGUGACUCAAUCAAGGACUUUUUUUUUGUAAUAAUCAAAAUUAAAAUUGAGACCUUUAAUUAAGGAACGAGCAUCAUCAUCCACUGCGCCACAUUUAUUUUGGUAACAACACCUUUAUUUUGUUUGUAUUAGGUUGAUAAUUAUUAUUGAACUGAAAUAAUAAAAAUAAUAAAAGCAUUUGUAUAUAAAUUAAACACAUACUAGAGAUGUAGGGGUGGAGAAUAGGGGUGCAAGGUAGUCGGGAUCGAGGUAACGAGGAAUGUGGUGAGUAUGAGGUCUGCUGAAAGGUGGAGAGAACACAAUCAUCGUAAAAUACCUCGUGUGGAAUUUAUUUGUCUAUUUCUAAACGAGAAAGGUCAUUUUUGUUAUUUUUAAAAACUUAUUUUCUUAAAGAAACUAUUUUUUAAAACAUUUUAAUCCACCAAACAUAAAAGAAUUGAAAAAAUAUUUACAAAAUCUUAAUAACUGAAUCGAUUGACUAUCUAUAUUUUUAUCUUAUUAAAAAUAGUUCAAUUUUCCACUUUAUGAAUCUCCUCCCUAUUUCCGCUUCCGCUAUACACACCUUCUUGUUGACUUUAGUAGAAUGAGAUAAAAGGACAGAAACAAAGAUCACAUAAAAGCCUUUCAUUAUUAUUUUUCUUUUGGUUUCCCAUCCAGUGUUCGGUGCCCACAUUGGAGCCCCGAUUAAUCCGGAUCUCGUAUUACAGGAUCCAUUAAGGUGACAGUGCUUCCAACAGAAUUUUCUCCAUACCCAGGGUCGAACCCUCGACCUCUAGUUAAGGAUGAAGUUGCCCCAUCCGCUACACCACAACCCAUGUUGAUCCCUCCAUUAUUACUUACAAAAAGUAAAUAAUGAUUUGAUGUAACAAAAUAUUCAUCCCAACCCAUUAUAUAUAUAUAUAUAUAUAUAUAUAUAUAUANNNNNNNNNNNNNNNNNNNNNNNNNNNNNNNNNNNNNNNNNAGAGGAGCAUGACCCGUGUCAGCAUGGACCCAACAUUAAGAUAUUAUUUAUCUUUUAAAUCUUGAUAUAUUUAAAUAAAUCUUUUUAAUAAAAGAAUUGCAUAUGUUUUUUAGGAUUCAUUCGAAAUCUAGCAUGAGUUCAACAUAUGUUAUUUUAAUAUGUAUUUAGAUAAUUUAAGUCAACUAUUGUAGUUUAUAAUUUUUUAUGUAAUUUUCAAAUUAAUAUACGUUACUUUUCUUGUCCAAAUUUUUAUGGCAUUGGUAGUCAAUUAUAUUUCAAAAAUAAUUUAAGUUUUUAAUUACUAUAAUUUAUAAUACUUUUCUUCUAUUCCGAUUUCAGUGACACUAAUAUAAUUUCAAGAGUCGACCAAAUAUUUUAUAUCUUUUAAAUCUUUUAAGUUGUUAAUUAUUGUGAUUUCUAGUAUUUUUCAUGUAAUUUUUUAAAAAUAUUUUUUUUGAAAUAUAUAACAUAUUAAAUUGUUUUUAGAUAUUUUAAGUUGUUAAUCAUUGUAAUUUAUAAUACUUUUUAGGUAAUUUUUGAAUAAUAUAUGCUACUCUCUUUGUCCAGAGUUUUGUGUCGACGAUAGCCAAUUAUAUUUUUUAAAUAAUUUAAAUUUUUGAUCAUUGUGAUUGAUAAUAAUUUUUCUAUUUCAACUUCUGUGGCACAAUGCUUAAAUGACCGUAAUAAUUAAUUAGGAGUGAUAUAGUAAAAUCACGACUGAAGCAGUGAAGCAUAAAUAUCUUAAAUGAGUUACAACAACUAAUUAGAAGUGACAUAGCGAAAUUACUUUAAAUAAUACUUUUAAAAAAUUUAAGUGGACCUCAUAUAAGACGUCAAGUUAAUUUAAAACAUCAAGAGUUAAUUUAUCGUUUUUAUAUCUAUUUUAUUUUUGUUAAAUAUUAUUAAUUUUUUAAUACUUAAAUGACUUAUAAUAAUUAAUUAGGGGUGAUAUUUAGUAAAACUAUGGUUGAAGCAGCUGAAGCAAACAUGUCAUAAACGUCUAUUUUAUUUUUUUUAUUAAAUAUUAUUAAUUUUUAAUAUAUAAAUGAAUUAUAAUAAUCAAUUAGGAGUGAUAUAAUAAAAUCACGAUUGAAGCCACUUAAUCAGACAUGUCAUAAAUGUUUAUUUUAUAUUUUCUAAUUAAAUAUUAUUCAUUUUUAAUACAUAAAUAACUUAUAAUAGUUAAUUAUAGGUGAUAUAGUAAAAUCUUCGAUUCAAUAUUAUUAAUUUUUCAAUACAUAAGUGACUUAUAAUAAUUAAUUACGGGUGAUACAUUAAAAGCACGAUUGAAGUGGCUGAAGCAGAAAUCAGUCAACUUUUUAUUUUUUUUGUUAAUUAUUGUUAUUUACAGUACUUUUUAUUUCAUUUUCAAAUAAUAUAUGUUGCUUUAUAUCUUUUUCUCUCAUGUCCCAAUUUAUGUGGCACUAGUAUAAUUUUGAUAGUCAAUCAAAUAUUUUAUGUUGACAUAUCAUUUUAUUAUUUUUAAUUUUCGAAUACAUAAAUGACUUAUAAUAAGGGGUGAUAUUGUAAAAUCAUCGUUUGAAAGACGACAAUUUAAUUUAAAACAUUAAGAGUUAAUUUCGCAUUUUAUGCCUAUUUUAUUUUUUAUUCAUAUUAUUUAUUUUCGUAAUACCUAGAUGACUCAUAAUAAUUAAUUAAGAGCGAUUGAUUAUGUUAUUACUAUAAAAAUUAAUAUAAUUUUAUCAUAUCCAAUAGUAAUCAUCGAUAACUCACCGAGUAGUAUAUUAAUUAAAUACGGAAUGCUAUAUUUUGCAUAUGCAAAAUAUGAUAUUAUUAAACAUUAUUGGAUAGUACAUUAUGUUUAUCUUUCACAAUAAUAAAAUUUUACUAUAUAUUUUUCUUUAUUUCUUUUUAACUUGAUACAUAUUGACCNNNNNNNNNNNNNNNNNNNNNNNNNNNNNNNNNNNNNNNNNNNNNNNNNNNNNNNNNNNNNNNNNNNNNNNNNNNNNNNNNNNNNNNNNNNNNNNNNNNNNNNNNNNNNNNNNNNNNNNNNNNNNNNNNNNNNNNNNNNNNNNNNNNNNNNNNNNNNNNNNNNNNNNNNNNNNNNNNNNNNNNNNNNNNNNNNNNNNNNNNNNNNNNNNNNNNNNNNNNNNNNNNNNNNNNNNNNNNNNNNNNNNNNNNNNNNNNNNNNNNNNNNNNNNNNNNNNNNNNNNNNNNNNNNNNNNNNNNNNNNNNNNNNNNNNNNNNNNNNNNNNCUUCGAUACAAUUUUGAGAGUCAACUAAAAUUUUAUUUUAUAUAUCUUUUAAAUAUUUUAAAUUGUUAAUUAUUAUGAUUUGCAAUACUUUUUCUUUUGUCUCAAUUUAUGUGGCAUUGCUAAAAUAAUGAGAGUCAAUAAAAUUUCUAUAUGUCUUUUAAAUAUUUUAAGUUAUUAAUUAUUUUGAUUUGUGGUAACAAAUUAAUUUUGACCAUGAUAGACAAUUAAAUAAAUAAAUAAAUUUUAUUUUAUUUUCAAUAUGUAUUUAUAGUUAAUUAAUAGAAUAUAUUAAAUAUAUAAACCAUUAUGAUGAAAUAAUCUUUUGUCUCAAUUUAUGUGGCAUUGCUAAAAUAAUGAGAGUCAAUAAAAUUUCUAUAUGUCUUUUAAAUAUUUUAAGUUAUUAAUUAUUGUGAUUUGUGGUAACAAAUUAGUUUUGAAUAUGAUAGACAAUUGAAUAAAGGGUAACUUAUAUAAAUCCCUGAAUCUUUAAGUGAUAUUACAUAAAAUUUCGACUAUUUUAUUAGUUAUAUUUUAUCCCAGUUUUUUGAAAUAGUGAUCCUUAUGUUAUAUGGUGAUACAUAUAAAAAAUUGAUACAUUUGAAACUAACAAGAUAUUUAUAUUAGAAAAUAAUAGAUUCUCUUUUAUUCAUUGUAUUAUUUUAUUUAAAGAAAGAUAUCUAAUUUUUCUCUCUUUUUAGAUUUAAUUUAGAUGUUUUAAUUAUGCUUCUCUUUUUUUUUUUCUUUUUUGUCUUUAAUUAUGAAAGAUAUACUUUUUUUUGUUUUUUUUUCUCUUUUUUCGUCUUUAAUUUUAGUCUGUUUUUUUUUAGAUUUAAUUUUAAUUAUGUUUCAAUUCUGCUUUUAGUCUUUUUUUUAAAAAAUAUUAUUACUUUUAUUUCCUACACUGACUACGUCAUUACCUUUCAUUAAUAACAUAUGAAUUACCAAAUAAUUGAAAUAAAUAAUUGUAUCUACCAUAUGAAUCACCAUAAUACCAUAUUUAUCACCGAUUAAUAUCGUAUAGAUCACCCAAUAAUUGAAAUAAAUAAUUGUAUCUACCAUGUGAAUCAUCAUAAUACCAUAUAUAUAAAUCACCCAAUAAUUGAAAUAAAUAAUUGUAUCUACCAUAUGAAUCACCAUAAUACCAUAUAUAUCGCCCAUUAAUAUCAUAUGAAUCACCCAAUAAUUAAAAUAAAUAAUUGUAUCUACCAUAUGAAUCACCAUAAUACAAUAUGUAUCACUCAUUAAUAUCAUACGUAUCACCCGUUAAAACCAUACAGAAUGUAUCUAUCGUAUGAAUCACCAUAAAUACCCAUAUAAUGAUAUCAUAUUUAUCAUUCAUAUGAAUCACCAUUAAAAGAAUAAACAUGUAUGAAUGCCUAAAUAAAUUUAUAUAUGUAUUAAUAGAUUAUUUUUAAAAAAUGGGAGAGAUUUUAGGAGAGGAAAAAAAAAGUUGCAUGCAUUAAUGGAGGAGAAAAAAAUCAGGAAAGAAGACGACUUAAGCAUUAAUGGAAGAGAAAAAAUCAGGAAGGAAUAUGAUUUAAUUGUUGAUAAUUAGGAAAAUAUUUUAGGGAAGGAAAUCUUGAAUGAGUUAAUGGUGGAGUAAAAAUAUGAUGUGGAUAUUUAUCAAGAAUAAAGUUGAAAAAUGAGAUUUUAUGUAAAUUUUUAAAAAGUAAUAGAUAUUAGGUAAUAUAGUCUCUUAAGUAUGGGAUUUGUGCAAUUUAUCCUUAAAUAAAUGAAAAAAAUUACUUUCAAUAUGUAGUUAUAGUUAAUUAAUAGAAUAUAUUAAAUAUUUAAAUCAUUAUGAUGAAAUAAUGAAAUUAUUAUAUAUUGAGACAUGAUAUAUAAUUAAGUGGAAGUAGAUGAAUGUUUUGGUAAUUAGUGAGGUGGUCAAAACCACCUCUUCUA
rnacentral:lncRNA from 1 species